GGCUCUACCCCGGUGGCUCCUACUUCGACCCGCUGGGUCUCGCGGCGGACCCGGAGAAGAAGGAGACUCUGCAGCUGGCGGAGAUCAAGCACGCCCGCCUCGCCAUGGUCGCCUUCCUCGGCUUCGCCGUGCAGGCCGCCGCCACCGGCAAGGGGCCGCUCAACAACUGGGCCACCCACCUCAGCGACCCGCUGCACACCACCAUCUUCGACACCUUGGGCUCCUCUUAAGUGGUCGGUGGUCGAGCAAUUUCUGUCAGCUCGGCUGCAAAAUGGACGAACGCGCGUCCGUGUAACGAACGUGCUUUUCGUUUUGUAUAUGACGAGUGAUGGAUGAGAGGGUAUCGCAAAGAUCCUUUGUUGAGUAAUGCAGGUCUGAUCACAUAGGAGAGCUGCUGGGACUUGGUGAUUUGUAAAAUAUGAACCAAUGGUGACUUAAUGCAUCCACUUGUACAUCAAUCUUGAGCUCAUCUUUUGUUUCGUUUUUUCGAUUACAAAGAUAGCAUCCACGCAAGUGCAAUCACACUACAGAAUUGACCGGGACCGCCCUGCCACACUGCCACUGAGCUUGCUACCCCUUUUAUCUCUUUUUUUUUUGAAAAAGGAGGCUUGCCCCCGGCCUCUACAUCUGAACGAUGCAUGCAGCCAUAUUAUUAAAAAAAUCUUAAAGUAUCACAAGGUCUUCAAAGUAUUACUGCUCGCAAAAGGAGCAAAGAAAAAUAAAAAACCGCAAUGCCGCAACCGGUAUGAAUUAAAGGACUAGGGCCCUAGACUCAUGUCCUGUUAUGCGACCGCCAUCCAAACCGGUUGACGCCCCCCUCGUAGGCGACACGGGGGACCAACCUCCGCCGCCAGCGACCCUCCCCACGUCCCGUCUCCCCUCCGCCGCCGCAGGUAGUCGGCGUCGGGCAAAGCCCGUGCUGCGACGCGGUGGCGGAGGGCCUCUCCCCUCUCCCCCGGAUCCAUGGGUAGCGCGGGCGCCCAGAUCCGCGGAGGUGCGGCCCCCACUUCGGCCCACGGCGGCGCGGCGUCCCAGCUGCGGUGGCUGUGGUGGUGCCGGUGGGAAUCGGCCAGAUGCACAGGGGGCGGCGACCCCAUGGCUGGGUGACGGCGCGCCCGUUCGUCCGACCGGUUCCGGCUCGUCCCGGAUCUGAUGACUACCGGACGGCGCAGGGGGUGGCGGCGGCCCGGUGUGGCCGGCGAUCUGGACAUGGUGGUGCCGGCGGUUCGAUGGUCUGCCGAAGAUCCAGGACUAUCAUCGUCUCCGACUCGAUCUGCUCCGAUUCGUGCUAGCUCUGGUACAGGGAGACUGUCGUCAUCUCCCGGUGCUGGCUGCAUGGAUCUGGUGGCGGCGGCUGGAUCCUUUUGAUCUAGUCUCCGAGACUCCGACCGAGAAGGCGGCGGUCCGUGCACAAGAAGCUGGAUGGAGUUCUUCGAACAGAUCUGGGUGAAAACCUGCUCGUGGCUAGAUGCCAAAGCCGGCGAUGGCGGCGCUCUACGACGUCGUUCCCUUUUUGAAGGCAUCACGGUGGAGAAGUUCUAGACUACUAUCUGCUACCUUCGGGGGAAACCCUAGAUCGAUAUAUCAGAAGACGGCGACGCGAUUGUGUCGUUUCCCCCUUGGGGGCGUCUUUCUUGGAGGUGUACGCGGGCUCGAGGGACCAGCGAACGACGUCUUUUGGUGGAGCGGUGCCUCACCAUACACAUGGAUGGUGACAGAUCUCGCUGGCAUGGCGCCCUGGAGAUUAGGAGUCUGAUGUGCGAUGAUGGACUCGCGCAGGAGGGUGACGUUGUCUGACAUCGUGGUGGCGUCGACGGCAGCUAGACCGGGCAAGGUGGAUGCAGAAGUACAACACUGAAGGUGGAUUGGUGGCACGUGGCUGCGGCGGCCUCAUCGAUUCAAUAGAAGCCCAAAGAGGUGCAUAUGGUACCCAAAUAAGAAUAGGAUAGAUAUGUCAAAAGCAGCCUGGCAGGCGUCUUGAUUGAGGAGUGCGCCGGACUGGUAGGUGCCCCAUACCCGAUAGGCGUCCUGGUUGGGACCUCAGGUCUUAGAUGUUUAGGUUUGGCUGCGAUGUCUGUUUGGUAUUAGGCCCAGGCUAUCAGUGCCCCUUCAUCAAUUGGAUAGGAGUAGCGACAGUUGUUGCUUAGACGGUGGCUUUAGUAUUACUGUUGUAUGACUUUGUAAGGUCUUGUGAGAAUAACUAAUAAAGUGGCCGUAUGCAUCGCCCAGAUGCAAAGGCCGGGGGUCCUCCUCCUUGUCUAAAAUAAAAUAAAAUCCAAACCGGUUGAAUAUAGCCCGUGCUACCAUCUCCCAUUGGUUGCACCCAGUAACCAGUGGCUCCCUGGAGUCCGUAGGAGUGAGUAAGGACCACGUACGGAUUCAUGUCGUAGCUCUGUAGAUGACAUGCAAGAAGUUUAAAAUGUGUUGUCUGUUAAAAAUCAUAUCAUUCCUGCAGUUCCAUAUAGCCCACAUAAAUGCACAUAUUUCAAUUCGAAUACGAGCCGCAGUAAAAUGUUCCACCCCAGCUAACCCCUUUGAUCUCUACCACUGAAUCUUCCCUAAAACCAUGUAUUUCUUUUCCUAGUUCACCUUCAUGUUCCCCGACAUAGUAUUCAAUCUACACACUGCUAUUCUUCAAGGAUGAAUUUGAAAUCUUAGUAUUUCAAGCAACGAAACAAUUUCAUAAGCACCUUUAAAAGCAAUAAAUCCUUCUAUUUGCUUCACAUUAUAGUAAUCAUAUACACCAUUAGCAUAAAAGUAAAUGUUUCAUCACAUUGGAAAGGAAGGUGUGGAGCCUUCAUCAUAUAUAGAGUGCAUAUUCCAAGCAUACCAUCAUAAUAUUUUAACUUCCCUUUUUGAGUAAAGCGAUAAUCCUUAAAGUAUUCAUGUUGAUCCAACCAUGAUAAUGGAACAUUGAAUAUUUCUUUCAUAUCCCAUUAUCAUGUUGAACGGUGAUUUAUCAGGGUUAUGAAAGAAAUUUCAAUGUUACGCACAUAGUCAGCAUCGAGGGUUACACACAUAGUCAACAUCAAGGGUUUUAGAAGGUUCACUAUUUUCAUGAGUAGCAAGUACAACUAUUUUUUGGGUGUUUCGUGUUCCAUACUAAUAACCAAAGAUAGAGAAUAACUUAGAACAGAAAAUAAAAUCUAUUUAGUGAUAAAGCAAACAAGUACACACGAGAAUAUUCACCCCACACUAUUGCUCCCCGGUAACGAUGCCAGAAAAGAUCUUGAUAAUCCACAAGUAUAGGAGAUCAGUUGUGGCCUUUUCGAUAAAUAAGAGUGUCGAACUCAACGAGGUGCUAAAGAUAGAAUUAUAUUCUCUCAAGUUCUACCAAUCACUGAUACAACUCUACACACACUAAUGUUUGCUUUACCUAGAAACAAGAAAUAAAACUACUUCGCAAGAAUAAAAUAUAGUUUUGCAACAUAAUAAUGAGUUGGUUGUUGUUUUAGUAAAAGAACAAUAAAGUAAAGGUUUUCUUGAAAACAAUGAGAAAAGGAUUGUCCCUAGGCAAUUGCAUAUGACACGAUAAUGAUAUUCAUCAUAUUUAUGGGGGAGAGACCUAAGCUAACAUACUUUUCCUACUUGGGUCAUAUAUUCUUAUGAUUGGAACUCUAGCAAGUAUUCGCAACAACCAAAGAUUCAUUAAGGUAAAACCCAACCAUAUCAUUAAGUCAAAAGUCCCCUUUAAUCCCAUAUACAACAACUCACUAACUCAAGAUUAGGCUUGAGUCACUCCCGCUACCCACUAUAAGAAAAUCAUUAAUAUAUAGCAACACCCUGGAGUGGGGAUCCUGUUGGGGAACGUAGCAUGCAAUUUCAAAAAAAUUCCUACACUCUUGCAAGAUCUAUCUAGGAGAUGCAUAUCAAGGAGAGGGGGAGAGUGUGUCUACGUACCCUCAUAGACCGAAAGCGAAAGCGCUUGACAACGUGGUUGAUGUAGUCGAACUUAUUCUAGCUCUGACCGAUCAAGCAUCAAACGUACGGCACCUCCGAGUUCUGCACACGUUCAGCGCGAUGACGUCCCUUGCCUUCUUGAUCUAGCAAGGUGUCGAGAAAGUAGAUGAGUUCCGUCAACACGACGGCGUGGUGACGGUGAUGGUGAAGUGAUUCUUGCAGGGCUUCGCCUAAGCACCGCAAAACUAUGACCAGGGGUGUAAGCUGUGGAGGGGGGUGCCGCACACGGCUAACGAUUGUUGUUGUGUGUUCUAGGCGCCCCCUCCCCAAUCCGUCCUCCCCCUUUCCUUUUUACUGGAGGAGGAAAAGGGAAGGGAGAAGAGAGAAAGGAAGGGGGGCGAACCCCCCUUUUCCUUCUCCAAUAUGACCAGCUUCCAUAGGGGGGCGCGCCACCCCUUGUGGGCUUGUGUGUUCCCCUCUCAUGGCCCAUAAGGCCCAUAUCUUUCCCCCGGGGGUUCCGGUAACCCCCCCCGGCCCCGGUACUCCGAUAAAUACCUGGUACUAUCUGGAACACUUCUGGUGUCCGAAUACUAUCAUACUAUAUAUCAAUCUUUACCUCUCGAUUAUUUCGAGACUCCUCUUCAUGUCUGUGAUCUCAUCCGGGACUCCUAACAACAUUUCGUCACCAAAUCACAUAACUCAUAUAAUACUAAAUCGUCAUCAAAUGUUAAGCGUGCGGACCCUACGGGUUCGAGAACUAUGUAGACAUGACCAAGACACCUCUCCAGUCAAUAACCAAUAGCGGAACCUAGAUGCUCAUAUUGGAUCCAACAUAUUCUACGAAGAUCUUUAUCGGUCGAACCGUUAUGACAUCAUACGUUAUCCCUUUGUCAUCGGUAUGUUACUUGCCCGAGAUUCGAUCGUCGGUAUCUACAUACCUAGUUCAAUCUCGUUACCGUUAAGUCUCUUUACUCAUUUUGUAAUACAUCAUCUUGCAACCAACUCAUUAGUUACUUUGCUUGCAAGGCUUCUUAGGAUGUGUAUUACCGAGAGGGCCCAGAGAUACCUCUCCGAUACUCGGAGUGACAAAUCCUAAUCUUGAUCUAUGCCAACCCAACAAACACCUUCGGAAAUACCUGUAGAGCAUCUUUAUAAUCACCCAGUUACGUUGUGACGUUUGAUAUCACAAAAGGCAUUCCUCCGGUAUUCGGGAGUUGCAUAAUCUCAUAGUCGAAGGAAUCUGUAUUUGACAUGAAGAAAGCAAUAGCAAUAAAAGUGAAUGAUCAAUAUGCUAAGCUAACGGAUGGGUCAUGUCCAUCACAUCAUUCUCCUAAUGAUGUGAUCCCGUUCAUCAAAUGACAACACAUGUCUAUGGUUAGGAAACUUAAGCAUCCUUGAUUAAUGAGCUAGUCUAGUACAUGCUUACUAAGAGACACGGUGUUUUGUCUAUGUAUCCACACAUGUAUCAAGUUUCCGGUUAAUACAAUUCUAGCAUGAAUAGUAAACAUUUAUCAUGAAUAAGGAAAUAUAUAAAUUUAUUAUUGCCUCUAGGGAAUAUUUUCUUCAGAUCCCACACGCUUGCGCGACACGAUGGGCACCAUAGGACAACACCCUAAUAACAUACAACUCAUAUCAAUCAUACCAUACAACAAUUAACCCAUAGGACAAAAAGAAACUACUCAAACAUAAUAGAGAUGCAACGCACCAUUGGAUAAUACUCCCUCCGUUUCUUUUUAGUCCGGAUAUAAGGUUUGGUCAAAGUCAAGCUUUGUAGAGUUCGACUAACUUUAUAUUUAAAAAUAUAAACAUUCACAAUAUGAAAUCAAUAUUAUCAGAUGCACCAUGAAACAUAUGUUCAUACUAUAUAAUUUUAGUAUUGUAGAUGUUCACAUUUUUUAUAUAAAUUUGGUCAAACUUUGUGCAGUUUGACUUUGACCAAAUCUUAUAUGCGGAGUAAAAAGAAACGGAGGGAGUAAUAUAUAGCAUAGAGCACCAUGCUCAAGUAGAUAUUACAACGGGGUGAGAGAGGAUACACCACUGCACGGAGAGGGAAAAAGUUGUCGAUGACGACGGGGAAGUUGUUGGAGUAGACCGCCAUCAUGAUGGUUUCCCCGGCCACGCUCCGGCGCCACCGGGAGAGAGGGGGAGAGAGGCCCCACUCCUCCUUAUUCUUCUUCUUGCUUGGAUUUCCCCUAGAUAUAAGAAGGGUCCCCCCUCUAGUCCUUGGCAUAAAUACUGAAGGAAAUAUGCCCUAGAGGCAAUAAUAAAGUUAUUAUUUAUUUCCUUAUUUCAUGAUAAAUGUUUAUUAUUCAUGCUAGAAUUGUAUUAACCGGAAACAUGGUACAUGUGUGAAUACAUAGACAAAUAGAAUGUCACUAGUAUGCCUCUACUUGACUAGCUCGUUAAUCAAACAUGGUUAUGUUACCUAACCAUAGACAUGAGUUGUCAUUUGAUUAAUGGGAUCACAUCAUUAGGAGAAUGAUGUGAUUGACUUGACCCAUUCCGUUAGCUUAGCACUUGAUCGUUUAGUAUGUUGCUAUUACUUUCUUCAUGACUUAUACAUGUUCCUAUGACUAUGAGAUUAUGUAACUCCCGUUUACUGGAGGAACACUUUGUGUCCUACCAAACGUCACAACGUAACUGGGUGAUUAUAAAGGUGCUCUACAGGUGUCUCCAAAGGUACUUGUUGGGUUGGCGUAUUUCAAGAUUAGGAUUUGUCACUCCGAUUAUCGGAGAGGUAUCUCUGGGCCCACUCGGCAAUGCACAUCACUAUAAGCCUUGCAAGCAUUGUAACCGAUGAGUUAGUUGCGGGAUGAUGUAUUAUGGAAUGAGUAAAGAGACUUGCCGGUAACGAGAUUGAACUAGGUAUUGAGAUACCGACGAUCAAAUCUCGGGAAAGUAACAUAUUGAUGACAAAGGGAAAAACGUAUGUUGUUAUGCGGUUUGACCGAUAAAGAUCUUCGUAGAAUAUGUGGGAGCCAAUAUGAGCAUCCAGGUUUUGCUAUUGGUUAUUGAUCGGAGACGUGUCUCGGUCAUUGAUACGUCUCCAAUGUAUCUAUAAUUUUUGAUUGUUCCAUGCUAUAUUAUAUUCUGUUUUGGACAUUACUGGGCUUUAUUAUACACUUUUAUAUUAUUUUUGGGACUAACCUAUUAACCGGAAGCCCAGCUCAGAAUUGCUGUUUUGUUGCCUAUUUUAGGGUUUCGCAUAAAAAGAAUAUCAAACGGAGUCCAAACGGAAUGAAACCUUCGGGAACGUGAUUUUCGGAAUGAACAUGAUCCAGAGGACUUGGACCCUUCGUCAAGACAUCAACCAGGAGGCCACAAGGUAGGGGGCGCGCCUACCCCCCUGGGCGCGCCCUCCACCCUCGUGGGCCCCCUGUUGCUCCACCAACGUACUCCUUCCUCCUAUAUAUACCUACGUACCCCCAAACUAUCAGAUACGGAUCCAAAACCCUAAUUCCACCACCGUAAGUUUCUGUAUCCAUGAGAUCCCAUCUUGGGGCCUGUUCCGGAGCUCCACCGGAGGGGGCAUCGAUCACGGAGGGCUUCUACAUCAAUACCAUAGCCUCUCCUAUGAAGUGUGAGUAGUUUACCUCAGACCUUCGGGUCCAUAGUUAUUAGCUAGAUGGUUUCUUCUGUCUUUUUGGAUCUUAAUACAAAGUUCUCCCCCUCUCUUGUGGAGAUCUAUUGGAUGUAAUCUUCUUUUGCGCUGUGUUUGUUGAGACCGAUGAAUUGUGGGUUUAUGAUCAAGUUUAUCUAUGAACAAUAUUUGAAUCUUCUCUUAAUUCUUUUAUGUAUGAUUGGUUAUCUUUGCAAGUCUCUUCGAAUUAUCAGUUUGGUUUGGCCGACUAGAUUGAUCUUUCUUGCAAUGGGAGAAGUGCUUAGCUUUGGGUUCAAUCUUGCGGUGUCCUUUCCCAGUGAUAGUAGGGGCAGCAAGGCACAUAUUGUAUUGUUGCCAUCGAGGAUAACAAGAUGGGGUUUACAUCAUAUUGCAUGAGUUUAUCCCUCUACAUCAUGUCAUCUUGCUUAAAGCGUUACUCUGUUCUCUUGAACUUAAUACUCUAGAUGCAUGCUGGAUAGCGGUCGAUGUGUGGAGUAAUAGUAGUAGAUGCAGGCAAGAGUCGGUCUACUUGUCUCGGACGUGAUGCAUAUAUACAUGAUCAUACCUAGAUAUUCUCAUAACUAUGCUCAAUUCUGUCAAUUGCUCAACAAUAAUUUGUUCACCCACCGUAAAUACUUAUGCUCUUGAGAGAAGCCACUAGUGAAACCUAUGGCCCUCGGGUCUAUCUUCCAUCAUAUUAAUCUUCCAAUACUUAGUUAUUUCCUUUGCCAUUUAUUUUACUCUGUAGCUUUAUCAUAAAAAUACCAAAAAUAUUAUCUUAUCAUAUCUAUUAGAUCUCACUCUCGUAAGUGACCGUGUAGGGAUUGACAACCCCUUAUCGCAUUGGUUGCAUGGAUUUAUUUGUUUGUGUAUGUGCGAGGGACUCGUGCGUGGCCUCCUACUGGAUUGAUACCUUGGUUCUCAAAAACUGAGGGAAAUACUUACGCUACUUUGCUGCAUCACCCUUUCCUCUUCAAGGGAAAACCAACGCAAGUGCUCAAGAGGUAGCAGUCAUGUCUACAUAGUUCUCGAACCCGUAGGGUCCGCACGCUUAAUGUUCAGUGACGAUUUGUAUUAUGAGUUUAUGUGUUUUGAUGUACCGAAGGUAGUUCGGAGUCCCGGAUGAGAUUGGGGACAUGUCGAGGAGUCUCGAAAUGGUCGAGACAUAAAGAUCGAUAUAUUGGACGACUAUAUUCGGACAUCGGAAAGGUUCCGAGUGGUUCGGGUAUUUUUUCGGAUUACCGGGGAGUUACGAGAAUACGGGGGAAGAAGUAUAUGGGCCUUAUUGGGCUUUAGGGGAGAGAGAGAGAGGCAGGCCGUGCGCCCCCCAAUGACUAGUCCGAAUUGGACUAGGGGGAGGGGCGGCGCCCCCUCCUUCCUUCUCUUCCCUCUUCCCCUUCCUUGUCUCCUACUCCUACUACUUGGAAGGGGAGGAAUCCUACUCCCGGUGGGAGUAGGACUCCUCCAGGGCACGCCAUAGGGGUCGGCCCUCUCCCCCUCCUCCACUCAUUUAUAUACGUGGCCAGGGGGCACCCCAUAGACACAAUAAUUGAUCUCUUGAUCUCUUAGCCGUGUGCGGUGCCCCCCUCCACCAUAUUCCACCCCGAUCAUAUCGUAGCGGUGCUUAGGCGAAGCCCUGCGUCGGUAGCAACAUCAUCACCGUCACCACGCCAUCGUGCUGAUGGAACUCUCCCGUGAAGCUCUGCUAGAUCGGAGUUUGUGGGACGUCAUCGAGCUGAACGUGUGCUGAACUCGGAGGUGCCGUACGUUCGGUACUUGGAUCGGUCGGAUUGUGAAGACGUACGACUACAUCAUCCGUGUUGUGCUAACGCUUCCGCUUUCGGUCCACGAGGGUAUGUAGACAACACUCUCCCCUCUCGUUGCUAUGCAUCUCCAUGAUCCUAUGUGUGCGUAAGAAUUUUUUUGAACUUACUACGUUCCCCAACAGUGGUAUCCGAGCCUGAUUUUAUGCGUAGAUGUUAUAUGCACGAGUAGAACACAAGUGAUUUGUGGACGAUACAAGUCAUACUGCUUACCAGCAUGCCAUACUUUGGUUCGGCGGUAUUGUUGGAUGAAGCGGCCCGGACCGACAUUACACGAGACUGGUUCUACCGACGUGCUUUGCACAUAGGUGGCUGGCGGGUGUCAGUUUCUCCAACUUUAGUUGAACCGAGUGUGGCUACGCCCGGUCGUUGAGAAGGUUAAAACAACACUAACUUGAUGAACUAUCAUUGUGGUUUUGAUGCGUAGGUAAGAACGGUUCUUGCUCAGCCUGUAGCAGCCACAUAAAACUUGCAACAACAAAGUAGAUGACGUCUAACUUGUUUUUGCAGGGCAUGUUGUGAUGUGAUAUGGUCAAGACAUGAUGCUAUAUUUAUUGUAUGAGAUGAUCAUGUUUUGUAACGGAGUUAUCGACAACUGGCAGGAGCCAUAUGGUUGUCGCUUUAUUGUCACUACAAAAAAAUACACUUCCGUGAUGAUACGUGUUUGUCAUAGUAGGUCGCUUUUUUUGUCAUGCAUGUACAUCCAUGACAAAUUUAUGACAAAAUCAAGAUAGUCAUACGUGUGCUGUCGUAGAAGUGUUCCAUGACAUUACCAAAAUUAUCAUCACGGAAGUGUCCACUUGCAUGACGAUAAAUCGUGCAUCACAGAAGUGCUUUCGUCAAGGGUGACCGACAUGUGGCAUCCACCGUAACGAAACACCGUUAAGCUAUCGGGUCGGGUUUUGGAUCCGAUAACCCGUUAACAGCCCCGACCAAUGGGAAUUUUCCACGUGUAAAAUCAUCAUUGGCUAGAGGAAACACGUGUCGACUCAUCGUCGGGACAGAUGUCAUCCACUCACUGGACAGAAGGCGCCUAUGAUACGCCGACACGUGGCACGGCCCAACAAGUUUAAAUGGGCCGGCCCAACUAAAGGCCCACAAGAUUUUGCAGACCAUAAUGGGCCAGCCCAACUAAAGGCCCACGAGAUUUUGCGGACCAUAAUGGGUUGGCCCAGCUAAAGGCCCAUAAGAUUUCACGGGCCAUAAUGGGCCGACCCAGGUAAAGGCCCACAAGAUUUUUGUGUGCCAUAAUAGGCCGGCCCAGAUAAAGGCCCACAAAAUUCUUGCGGAUCAUAAUGGGCCGGCCCAGCUAAAGGCCCACGAGAUUUCGCCGACAUUAAUGGGCCGGCCCAGCUGUAGGCCCAAAAGAUUUUGAGGAUCCUAGUAGGCCGACCCGUUAACUGGCUGCUAUGUUUUGGGCCAAAUGCCGGCCCAUAUUUGAUACGGUCUAUUAAUGGCCUGCCACGCUCCGGGCCUAAUAGUGGCCCAUAUGAGAUCUGGCCCGUUAAAAGCCUACCAUGUUCUGGGCCAAAUUACGGCCCAGAUCAGGUCCGGCCCUUUAAGAGGUUUUGGGCCUAAUUAUGGCCCAUAUCAGAUUCGGCCCGUCAAUUGGACACUAUGCUUUUGGGCCCACUUGCUAAAGGUCCACUUAGCAAUUCAGCCUGAUAUUAGUUUUGGCCUGUUAAGGGCCCGUUUAAUAUUUUGGCCCUAUAUUAAUUUCAGCCUGUUAAAAGCCCAUCAUAUAGUUGGGCCUAACUACGGCCCGGUUUGCAUCCGGCCUGCUCGCAGCCGAUAUCUGAUUGGGCCAAACAAGGACCGAGACAAUUUUCCGGCCUAUUAAAAGCCUGUGAUUUGAUUCGCACAAUCAUGGGUCAGGGUUCAUUUCGGGCUGCUGCCGGCCGGUGAGCUGAUCGGCACGUUUCAGGCCCAACCUACAUCAUGAUUGCAUGAUGGCCUGAUUAUGUACCAUAAUUUUACGGUUUGGCCGGUUUACUGCGAAGAUAGGAUAUAUAUACAGUAAAAUAACUACAGCAUCGUGAAUAAGAAAAAACCUAUACUAUACAAUAAAGAAAUUAUGGCAUAUUACAUCCACUGGGCAUCAAAGUUCGCCACUAUGAUAAUAAAGCACAAGCAAACAACAGAUUACAUACAUUGGGCAUCAAAGAUCGCCACCAGUGCAAAUAAACACGCCGACAAAAUAAUAUACAAAACCGACAGCACUUCAAUAGAGUUCAAGAAAGGUUAGCCCUGCUGGGGAGCUGUAGCGCGAGCAGCUGAGCAAGAUGAUGAGACUGUGCUUGUUCAACACUUAUAUCUUCCUCACUCUGAAAGAUAAACAAGCAGACAGAUGACAGGUUUUGCACAUAAAAGUAUCAGUGCUGACAAUUCAUCACAUUUCUUACUGAGAAUAGAGUGACACAGUUUAAAUUUGCAUUAACACAAUAUGGUAUUGUUCAGGUCAAGACAUGGCUGGAAAUGACAUUGUGAAGGAGUUGGCAGCUUCACGACACCACUGGAUUACAGAUCAAGAACUCAUAAGUAUCAAUGGUUAGUUUGUUGUCAAUCUAUACCAUUUCAGAUUGGCAACUAAAGUGACGGUUCAAAUAAUAGUAGAAUGAUAUGACAUUUUUCAUAGUUAAGACAUUGCAGAAUAUGACAUUGUGCUGUAGUGGGUAGGUUCACCACACCACUGGAUUACAGAUGAAGAACAGAAGCAUACAUGCAGUGCAAAAGAAGAUCACUUGCUCUGUAUAGUUUAAUUUACAUGGUAUGAAGAAGGAACUUGGUUGUACAACUGAAAACUUAAAUUGAGAAAGGACGAACUUUUGUUUAUGAACUACAUAUAAUAAACUUUAAACAAGCAAUUUGAUGCAAACACCAAAAAUAAACAGCUGUUGCAGUCAUGCCUAACCAAAUAUAUACAACAAUGUUUGAACGCUUGAGAUGGACAAACUUACAUUAUUGGUGAAGACAGGCUCUAUAAAGGCCUUGUCCAUGCUGAUGGGGGGNNNNNNNNNNNNNNNNNNNNNNNNNNNNNNNNNNNNNNNNNNNNNNNNNNNNNNNNNNNNNNNNNNNNNNNNNNNNNNNNNNNNNNNNNNNNNNNNNNNNNNNNNNNNNNNNNNNNNNNNNNNNNNNNNNNNNNNNNNNNNNNNNNNNNNNNNNNNNNNNNNNNNNNNNNNNNNNNNNNNNNNNNNNNNNNNNNNNNNNNNNNNNNNNNNNNNNNNNNNNNNNNNNNNNNNNNNNNNNNNNNNNNNNNNNNNNNNNNNNNNNNNNNNNNNNNNNNNNNNNNNNNNNNNNNNNNNNNNNNNNNNNNNNNNNNNNNNNNNNNNNNNNNNNNNNNNNNNNNNNNNNNNNNNNNNNNNNNNNNNNNNNNNNNNNNNNNNNNNNNNNNNNNNNNNNNNNNNACAUUUUGUUAAGAGUAAAUAUAGAUGUGAUAAUAUACAAAAAAUGGAGAAUAUUUAAGAUAAGAUGAAGAGUGAUGCUACAUAACCAAGUAGCUAUAAAUGUAAGUGCAGCGAUACAGGCAAAAGGUACAACCAAGAGCAAUGCACAGCUAAACUUCUUCAGUACCAACCUUAUGGUAAGAGUAAAUAUAGAUCUGUUGUGUAGAAAAUGAAGGGCAAAGGAAAAUAAGCUGCAGAGUGAUGGUACAUGAACAACUACCUGUCAUUAUAAGUACACUGAUAAAGGACAACAUGUACUUAUAAGAACAAUGCAGAGCUAAAAAACAUUGGCAUUGGAUAUAUUCUACAUUAAUGUAACCAUUCAUACAGAUCAGAUAAUUUGGAGUGAACAAUUGAUAAGCAAGCUAUCAUGCAUACUGCUGUCACAUAAUGAACCAGAUAUGCAUGCAAGUACAAUGAUACAGGACAAUAGGUACUAACAAGAGCAAAGCAGCGGGCAACAUAUUUGUGAUAUCUUGUCAUUCUUGUCAAACCGGAAUUCUUCUUCGAGCAGAUUUCCUGCAAAAAAGAUCCGUAAGGCACAUGCGGAAAAGUAGAAGUUCAAAUUGUCAUGUGAUUUCAUAGACAGUACCUCAUCCUGGGAAUGAUACCAGUGCAUAACAAGGAAUGUCUUCUAAAUUUAGCACAGGAGACUUCAUCGGAAAUUCGUUUAUAGACUUACCAUCAAAGUGUGAUUUCCUCACGCAACACCGAUACUGCUGCAAUGCUUCCUUGAAAAGCACAAGCAAGCUUUUCUUGUCAUGACUAUCCAGGUUGACCCUCGCCUAGUUACAACAAUGUAAUGUAAAUCAUUGAUGUGUUCAAUGAGUAGAAAACAGGAAAAUAAUAGCCAUGAAUAAUAGCACUUACACGUAAGUUGGACAGGAAGAUGUGAAAAUGGUGUUUGUCUUCACAAUAAUCUUCCCAUGAUGGGAAUAUAUGCACAUAGUCCCUAACAACGUUGAAAGCAUUGUCUUUUAAACUGGGAAUAAAUGGAAUGGGGUUCCAAUCUGCAGGAAUUGGCCGUCUCUGUAGUUGGGAUAGGUCUUCGGCCGGUGGACUUGCUGUACUUUUUGCUGGAGUGGGAUUUUUCUGUGGUACAGCAGGUGCUAUGGCAAAUGAAAUCGGUAUACCUUUUGCUGGAGUGCAGGUCCUGUGUGGUGGGGCUAGUGGUGUGGCUAGUGAAGUAUGGGUACAGUCUGCUAGAGUUGGUCCUACGUUUUGUGUCACUGGUUGUACAACCAAUAUAAGUGGGGUGCUGUCUAAUUUCUCCGGCACCACCACGUUUUUCAAGGACUUUGCUGGUGCUCCUUCAGGUUCGUAAUCACCCUCUUCAUUUUUGAUGUCUGAUGCACAAGAACAACAUUUGAGUGGAAAAACAUGGUAUGAUGACAGAUGGAAUAUGUAUUGAUAAUGGAUGGGCAUGGCAUCUCGACAUAUAUGAUGAGUAAACUAAGCAGAUGGCGGUGCAACAAAGUAGAAGAAAUGCAAGACAACAUAUGCAAGAUACGCGCAACCAAUAAAAUCUUGCCAAAUUAGAAUAGGCACCUUGAUGGGUGAAUAGGACAGGCCAUCUGCCUUUGACUCCUCGAGGUUAGAAUAGUCAUUAGGAUGAUAUUCUGAACAACAAUCAACAGGUGGGGAGCGUACGAGUUUCAUUGCUUCCAGAAUGGCACUCAAUGCCUUGCUGCCAAUUUUGUAAGUCAUUGUAGUGUUCCAUAAUAUUCUUCUGAUGCGCGGAUUCUGAUAUUCACUGUAAUUGCGUAUAAUAUCUGAGAACCAUGAAAACAUAAAUAGUUGUGAGAUUAUCUUUGUAAUGCAGAUGAUAUUCUAAUAUAGGGGCGCCCCUGUAAACACUUGUGUGCUAUCACUAGAUUCUGAUGAGAGAGCUCAUGUGUGCUGUAAUAUGGUGCGUUCAUUUAUAUAAUCUGGCACAAGUACACAAAAAAAUAGGCUCCAGAAGAAAGGAUAGCUGGCAGAUGAUAGGUUCAUAAUAUACUGUAUAGAGAGUUUAUUGCCAAACCAUGAUAACAAGAGCACACAGCAACUAGGCAGAUCGUAGGGGCUGUUUGGUUUUAGGACUAGCAUUGCCACACUUUGCCACACAUUUUUGUCAAACUUCACUAAGGUUAGUUCAUCAAAAUGAGAGCCACAAGUUGGCAAGCCUAAGGGAAUCUUGCCACACUUUUUGUGUGUAUGCCAUGUGGGGUCCAAGUGUGGCUUGCCUAAGAUGUGGCUUGAACCAAACACUCACCUAAGUUGGUCAAACUUGCCUAACCUUAGGUGUGGCAAUCUUUGGCAAAGUUAGUCACAAACCAAACAGCCCCUACAUAACAGGGGUACACCAUAACCAGGAUAUAUAAAUCGGGAAAGUGGAACUGGCUGGAAAUUACGGUGUUGUAUUGCCGCUAGUAAUUGAAAGCCUAUCGAUCACGUACAGGCCAGCUCUAUCAGCUAUUGACUGCAGAUGUCCCUCCUCCCCUUCCUGACAAGGAACAUACUGUGCUUCCCAUACAGAACACCGCACGGGCCGCCGGCCGAACCACCAGCCCCACCGCCUGUGUUCCUCCGCCACCCCCACCCCCGCCCCCACCCGCGUCGAGUUUUCUUCGUUCGACGAGGCCCCACCACCGCCCCCCACAACCACCGUCCCCACCCGAGCCCCUUCGAUCGCACCGGCGAACUCCGGCGAGCUCUGAAAAAUCGACUGACCCAAUUUUGAAAUUUAGUCUACUGUGAUUUAACUAGUGUGGAAUAUAAAAGGGGGAAACCAUAAGCAUUGCGAGUAUGGUGUUGAGCGUGCCAUGGCGGAUCUGAAGGUGCAAACCAGACAAAGGCAACUUCGCAACCAAGACAACAAAUCAGAGUAAAGCAGUGGCGAUCUAUUUUUUUGCUGCGAUAAAUAAGUUGAGCAGAUACAAAAGAGUACCGCCUCUGGUGUGGCGCCGUGUACGCAUCUACUGAGAAUUUGACGGUGCUGCGGUAGCGAUGGCUGUCGGUGGUGUGGAAGCAUAUCUAGGAGGGUAGACCGUGGCGGUGGGGCGCGGUGGACGAGACGGUCGUAGGAGUGGUGCCGGCAAGGUGGACGACGGCGGGGAUGAAGCGAGAGGACGGGAUGCAAGGAUCCCGGUCCGAAGCCGUGGAUGAGAGAUGUCGAUCUCUUGUAAUGGACGGAGGCGUUGGGGUAUCAGCUCCGAAAUGGUGGAGGAGGACGGCAGUGGAUGGGGUGGCGGACGGCGGCGGACGGAGGAGAGUGGGGUGGAGAGGGUGUUUUGGCGCCCACAGAGUACGAAUGGGGAAAAGGGAGGUAGAGAGGAAGGAGGGAACCAUGUAUUCAGGGCGCGCUUGUCUCAAAUGCAAGGAAAUUUACAAACUUAGCCCCCGUUUCAAAUUUCUACUACAUCAGAGCAACACUAGUCGGUUGGGGAUAGGACGGUAAUCUCGCAUACACCGAAUAUUUGCCGACGAGAGUUUGUUUUUGGCGCCCACCGUGUAUGAAUAUGAAUCGGGGAGGAGGUCGAUUUCGGCUGAGGACACACUGUGUUUUGGCGCCCACCGUGUAUGAAUCCGGGUGAGAGGCGGUUAUGUCACGUUUGGGUGAAAUUACAAACCUACCCCUAUCGAAACCUAUAGAAAUUCAGCAUAUAGGCUUUGCGUGGCAGGGAUAGGCAGUAGUGAUUUCCAUCUCGCAGAUUUUGGUUUCGGGCGGUUACUGCGACUUUCCCCGCUUCGUUCAAAUUUUACAGAGUGCAUGUUUACCGUGCCAACUCAAUUCGAAUCCCGUUUGUAUUCUAUUUUUUAGGCGGGGUCCAUUUUCAAUUGGAAUUACAUUCUAUAUACAUCAUUUUUAUAUAUACUUUCAAAAGCACAACAAAGAUUCUGCUCCUUUAUAUGUAUAAUAUGAUUUACAAAUACAACGAUCUCGAAAUCUUAAGGUUGAAUUCGAAAAAAUUUAACCAAAUUAUGUUCUACUAAAAUGUAUGGAUCAGUAAUAUGUACAUAUUAAAUAACAUAGAUGUGCGUGAAUUCAUAUGAGUAUGCAUGUUUGAUAGAUCAAUUUUGGUUCGAGUAUGGAUUACAUGUAUCAUCAUCUCGAAUUCAAAUAUUUGAAUCCCUUUUUUGUUCACUCCUUUCACGCCCAUCUCUCUCUCGCAUGCAUGCUCCUUCAGGUAGCUAUCACUCUCUUUUCUCCAGCUCACCUGCACGCUCACUUCAUGUUGCUCCUAUCCUCGCAAACAUGGUCUCUCGACGUCUCCCUUGAGAAGUGUCACACUCUCCCUAUCAUUAUAAAUUACACGGUUUUCAUUAUCUCUCACGUCUCUACUAUUCUCUGGUAUCACUCGGUACCUAAGCUUUCUUUUUCACCGCCAAACACACAGUCUCCACUCGUCUUUCACUUUGUAUUUCUCUCUAUGGCAUUCUCUCACACACCCUAUAUGUCUCUACAUAUGACUCAUACCACUAAAAUUACUCUCUCUAUCUCUCCUGUAGACACAACAUUUGUUGCGGUCUCCUUUUCGUCUCCAUCCCAGACUGACAUUAUUCAUUUGUUUACCGAUCAGACAACCCCGACUACCAUCUCCUCUCUCUCUCACAGACACACACGCACAACUCCUACCACUAAAAUGUGAAUGGAAAACGAGAUUUUGUUAUACCCAAACAAAAAAGGACUGGAGGGAGUGAUUUCUCUGACACGGACGCGACCUCUCAUAGCGCAGGCAUUGAACCGGCGCGCCGGCCAAGAGGGCCGCACUCGCUGCAGGCCCGGCUGAGCACGCCUCCUUGCCGCAUGCAACCAGCUUAAGACUGCCCCGCCUGCCUUCAUUGAUUCCGCGCGUAUGGCGGCAACACGUCCUCCCGCGAGCCGGCAGGCAUUUUAGAACACAAAAAUGACUAAAAUAUAAUUAAUUUACGCAUGGUCUUGACUUGUUGUGCUUGCACUGGUAGCAGGAACUAGUAGAGGAUUUUCUUUAUUUAUAACUCUCCUCACAUUUUUUUGGCUUUGAAGUGAAUCAUGGUUGUGGACAUUAUGUAUGAAUGUGCAGAUAUCUGUGAACAUGAGUUUGAUGUGGAAGUUGAACUUGGAAUGUCGGGCUUGCGCGUGAACUAUACCAUGUCCAAUGCUUCGUCUGUUAUUGUUUGGAAAGUAAUUGCUGUUAUUACAUGACCCGAAAAAAACAUUUUGUGCCACAUCAGUAGAUGCACGGACAUCACAACAGGCAUGCUGACUGGAUAAACAUUUGAACCUAGCUAUUAUGAAGGAAAUUUUGUAUUGACAACAAUUUUAGACAGGAGGAGACGCCUAGCCUUCUCUGCCUCUGCUAGCUUAUUUCUGGCUUCUUCCAUCUCUUCUUUGGCUUGGGUGAAGAGAGCAUCUGAUUGCUCUUUUCGCUUCUUUAGGAACUCAGCUACAUUCUCAAGGGCUGCUGCAUGCUUUCUUUCAGCCUUUACUAAUGCCACGAGGACACGAACAACUGACGACUCCACCUGGCUUGUGUGUAAUCCAGCAUCAUCUGGGAAUUUGCACCUUGUGUCUAAUCCAGCAUCAUUAGGGAACUGGCACCUUGUGUGUAAUCCAGCCCCAUUUUGGAAACAUGAUCUCGAGGUUGACCAUACUUCCCUCCUUGCAGGAACUGCAUCCUGAGAUGAAGUUACCUCCUUUUUAGAUCAAUACUCAGAGCAACCUAGAUCCAUUUAGUAGAAGCCAGAUAAACAGAACUCGGAGAAGUGAAUUCAAAAGGAAAAAAUAAAUAAAAACAGACUACAAGGUGAGAACACCCACUUCCUACAUCAAGCUAAAAACGAAAGCAUUAGGACAAUUAAGACUCUUCUUAUUACACAACGAAGAACACCACACUUAAGAGAAAUAGAAACUACAACAUAUACACAUCGAAGAACAUGAGGCUACACGAAAGUAAUUGAAAGGGUGUUACUUACCAAAGCUCGUUUUAUAGGUUCGGUGCAACUCCUCUUUAACUUGCCACACUCCUUGAAGAUGUCCCGAAUAUCCCGUGUUUGGUCUUCAUUGCUCCUCUGCAUGUUCGCACUCGUGGUUUUAAAAUCUCAACAUGGCAAGAAAAAUAUACUACUAGUAAUACUCGCGCAUCUUGUGGGCAACAUUAAAGCACUCGUCUGCCAUGUUACAGCAUCUCCAACAAGAUAAACUACUCAUACAAAUGCAUCUUCAUACGUGCAACGCAUGUGCAUUUUGCUAGUUCUAAAAACAUUUCCAUCAUUUGCCACACUACUGGUUGCAGAUGAAAAACCUACCCAAGCACAGCGCGAUACAGGAGCGACGCACAAUUACAAGCUGAUAUUCUGUUGGACAAUGGAGGCUAUAACCAAUUACUUUUAUGGGAACAAUAGCACCCAGGAAAUUUGAAGGGUAGGUAUGAACAAAAUUGGAACUACACAUGUACUGCUAAGUGAUUCAAUACACACAUUACCAAUCGAGGAGGAGAAUGAUGGUCGUGGCGGCCUCUGUGAGUCAUGGUCAGCAACGGGAGUCAGUUCAUUGUCCACAAUGGUGGUACUUCUACGCUUGGCGUCGGCUUCCGGGAAGCAGAUCCGAGACCGUGGAAGACGAUGCCGGGGAAGAGGCUCCGUGUACGACGAUGAUAACCCACAAGUAUAGGGGAUCGCAACAGUUUUCGAUAAGUAAGAGUGUCGAACCCAACGAGGAGCUAAAGGUAGAACAAAUAUUCCCUCAAGUUCUAUCGACCACCGAUACAACUCUACGCACGCUUGACGUUUGCUUUACCUAGAACAAGUAUGAGACUAGAAGUACUUUGUAGGUGUUGUUGGAUAGGUUUGCAAGAUAAUAAAGAGUACGUAAAUAAAAAGUAGGGGCUGUUUAGAUAAAGAAACAAUAAAGUAAAUAUAGCGAGUGUGGAAAAGUGGUGGUAGGUGUUGUGGAAUUGCCCCUAAGCAAUUGACUACUUUACUAGACCGAUAGCAAGUAUUAUGUGGGAGAGGCCACUGCUAGCAUGUCAUCCCUGACUUGGAAUUCUAUGCACUUAUAAUUGGAACUAUUAGCAAGCAUCCGCAACUACUAAUGUUCAUUAAGGUAAAACCCAACCAUAGCAUUAAGAUAUAUUGGUCCCCCUUCAAUCCCGUAUGCAUCAAUUUCUAUGCUAGGUUGAAGCUUCUGUCACUCUUGCCCUCCAAUACAUAGUCCUAUCAACAUACAACUAACCCUAGGGUGUGAUCCACGCGCGCAAUCAUAUGAUGGGCACCAAAGGACAGCAACAUAACCACAAGCAAAUUAGAUCAAUCAUAGCAAUUCAUCAACCACCGAUAGGACAACGAAAAUCUACUCAGACAUCAUAGGAUGGCAACACAUCAUUGGAUAAUAAUAUGAAGCAUAAAGCACCAUGUUCAAGUAGAGGGUACAGCGGGUUGCGGGAGAGUGGAGCGUUGUAGAUAGAGGGGGAAGGUGAUGGAGAUGUUGGUGAAGAUGGCGGAGGUGUUGGUGUAGAUCGCGGUGAUGAUGAUGAUGGCCACGGCAGCGUUCCGGCGCCACCGGAAGAGAGGGGGAGAGGGGCCCCCUUCUUCCUCUUUUUCCUUGACCUCCUCCCUAGAUGGGAGAAGGGUUUCCCCUCUGGUCCUUGGCCUCCAUGGCAUGGGAGGGGUGAGAGCCCCUCCGAGAUUGGAUCUAUCUCUCUGUUUCUCUCUGGUUCUGCGUUCUGUCCUGGCUCUGUUUCACCUUUUCGUGUAUAUAUGGAGAUCCGUAACUCCGAUUGGCCUGAAACCUUCGCUGUGAUUUUUUCCGAAUAUUAGCUUUCUUGCGGCAAAAGAAGAGCGUCAACCGCCUUACGGUGGGCUCACGAGGGUAGGGGGCGCCCCCCAGGGGGGCGCCCCCUGCCUCGUGACCACCUCGGGCACUGGUUCGUGUUGAUUUUCCUUCCGACUUUUCCAUAUUUUCCAAAAAUAAGCUCCAUCCGUUUUUAUCCCGUUUGGACUCCGUUUGAUAUGGAUAUUCUGCGACCAAAAACAUGCAACAGACAGGAACUGACACUGGGCACUGGAUCAAUAUGUUAGUCCCAAAAAUAAUAUAAAAAGUUGCCAAAAAGUAUAUGAAAGUUGAAUAAUAUUGGCAUGGAACAAUCAAAAAUUAUAGAUACGACGGAGACGUAUCGGCAUCCCCAAGCUUAAUUCCUGCUCGUCCUCGAGUAGGUAAAUGAUAAAAAAGAUAUUUUUUGAUGUGGAAUGCUACCUAGCAUAAUCUUGAUCAUAUGUCUAAUCAUGGCAUGAAUAUUAAGACAUGAGUGAUUCAAAGCAAUAGUCUAUCAUUUGACAUAAAAACAAUAAUACUUCAAGCCUAUUAAUAAAGCAAUCAUGUCUUUUCAAAAUAACAUGGCCAAAGAAAGUUAUCCCUACGAAAUCAUAUAGUCUGGCUAUGCUCCAUCUUCACCACACAAAAUAUUCACAUCAUGCACAACCCUGAUGACAAGCCAAGCAAUUGUUUCAUACUUUUGAUGUUCUCAAACCUUUUCAACUUUCACGCAAUACAUGAGCAUGAGCCAUGGACAUAUCACUAUAGGUGGAAUAGAAUAUGAUGGUGGAGAAGACAAAAAGGAGAAGAUAGUCUCACAUCAACUAGGUGUAUCAACGGGCUAUGGAGAUGCCCAUCAAUAGAUAUCAAUGUGAGUGAGUAGGGAUUGCCAUGCAACGGAUGCACUAGAGCUAUAAGUGUAUGAAAGCUCUAACUGAAACUAAGUGGGUGUGCAUCCAACUUGCUUGCUCAUGAAGACCUCGGGCAUUUGAGGAAGCCCAUCAUCGGAAUAUACAAGCCAAGUUCUAUAAUGGAAAUUCCCACUAGUAUAUGAAAGUGAUAACUCAAGAGACUCUCUAUAUGAAGAACAUGGUGCUACUUUGAAGCACAAGUGUGGAAAAAGGAUAGUAGCACUGCCCUUCUCUCUUUUUCUCUCAUUAUUUUAUUUUUUUUAUUUUUUUGGUGGGCUUCUUUGGCCUCUUUUUUAUUUGCGCUUCUUUGGCCUCUUUUAUUUUUUUGUAAAGUCCGGAGUCUCAUCCCGACUUGUGGGGGAAUCAUAGUCUCCAUCAUCCUUUCCUCACUGGGGCAAUGCUCUAAUAAUGAUGAUCAUCACACUUUUAUUUACUUACAACUCAAUAUUACAACUCGAUAUCUAGAACAAAGAUAUGACUCUAUAUGAAUGCCUCCGGCGGUGUACCGGGAUGUGCAAUGAUCUAGCGUAGCAAUGACAUCAAAUAAUGGACAAGCCAUGAAAACAUCAUGCUAGCUAUCUUACGAUCAUGCAAAGCAAUAUGACAAUGAAUGCUCAAGUCAUGUAUAUGAUGAUGAUGGAAGUUGGAUGGCAAUAUAUCUCGGAAUGGCUAUGGAAAUGCCAUGAUAGGUAGGUAUGGUGGCUGUUUUGAGGAGGAUAUAUGGUGGGUUUAAGGUACCGGCAAAAGUUGCGCGAUACUAGAGAGGCUAGCAAUGGUGGAAGGGUGAGAGUGCGUAUAAUCCAUGGACUCAACAUUAGUCAUAAAGAACUCAUAUACUUAUUGCAAAGAUCUAUUAGUCAUCGAAAAAAAGUACUACGCGCAUGCUCCUAGGGGGAUAGAUUGGUAGGAAAAGACCAUCGCUCGUCCCCGACCGCCACUCAUAAGGAAGACAAUCAAUAAAUACCUCAUGCUUCAACUUCGUUACAUAACGGUUCACCAUACGUGCAUGCUACGGGAAUCACAAACCUCAACACAAGUAUUUCUACAAUCCACAAUUACCCACUAGCAUGACUCUAAUAUUACCAUCUCUAUAUCGCAAAACUAUUGCAAGGAAUCAAACAUAUCAUAUUCAAUGAUCUACAAGUUUUAUGUAGGAUUUUAUGACUAACCAUGUGAAUGACCAAUUCCUGUCAUCUCUCUAAAUAGAUAUAAGUGAAGCAAGAGAGUUUAAUUCUUUCUACAAAAGCUAUGCCCGUGCUCUAACAAGUAUAAGUGAAGCAAAAGAGCAUUCUACAAAUGGCGGUUGUCUAUGUAAAGAGAAACAGGAAAUCCAAACUUCAAAUGAUAUAAGUGAAGCACAUGAAGCAUUCUAUAAAGCCAUACUCAAAAAAUAUAAGUGAAGUGCAAAUAGCAUUCUAUAAAUCAACCAAGGACUAUCUCAUACCAGCAUGGUGCAUAAAAAGAAAAAGAAAAACCUAAAUGCAAAAGACGCUCCAAGACUUGCACAUAUCGCAUGAACGAAACGAAUCCGAAAACAUACCGAUACUUGUUGAAGAAAGAGGGGAUGCCUCCCCAGCAUCCCCAAGCUUAGAUGCUUGAGUCUCCUUGAAUAUUUACUUGGGGUGCCUCGGGCAUCCCCAAGCUUGAGCUCUUUCCUCUCUUCCUUCUUCUCACAUCGAAACCUUCUCGAUCAUUGAACACUUCAUCCACACAAAACUUCAACAGAAAACUCGGUAAGAUCCGUUAGUAUAAUAAAGCAAAUCACUACUCUAGGUACUAUUGCAAACCAAUUCAUAUUUUGUUUUUGCAUUGUGUCUACUCUAAUAUAACUUUUUCAUGGUUUAAUCCACUGAUAUAAAUUGAUAGUUUCAUCAAAACAAGCAAACUAUGCAUCAAAAACAGAAUCUGUCUAAAACAGAACAGUCUGUAGAAAUCUGAACAUUAACCAUACUUCUGAUACUUGAAAAAUUCUACCAAAAUUAGGAAACAUAAAAAAUUUGGGUAGGAAGACAGUGCAAAAAGAAUCAGAACCAUUUGACGUUCCAGCUAAAAAUGUAAAAUCGCGCACUACAGUCAAAGUUUCUGUCCUGCACCGUACAAACCAUCAAGCAAAUGUAAACAUCCUAAAGGCAAACCUUGGCACAUUAUUUUUAUAAUACAAUGGAAUUGUACAAGGGGAUAAUUAUUUUUGUUGAAAAGUUUCUAUAAUUAAGUUUCACAAAGUUCCCAUGGGGAUGAACAAAGUUCAAGGACGUCCCCCAGUUUCACAAUGCUCGUCUCUCUCACUUUCACUUUUCUUUUUUGAAAAAGCUUUGGGUUCCCCUCUUUAUUUUUGUUGUUUUUAAACUAUAUGAAAGCACUCAACAUAAAUAAAUGACUCUCUAAACUUCUGGGUUGUCUCCCUAGCAGCGCUUUCUUUAAAGUCGUUAAGCUAGACAUAUAGUGCUCAAGUAGUGAAUCCACCCGGAUCCCAAGGUAUAUCAAAGCCAAUUUUAAUUAACAAUGAUUUGUAAUUUAGUAGUGAGCACAAAGAAACAUAUAUCAUGUAAUGACGAAGUCUAACUCUCUUCCUAUGCAUCAGCAUGUCAUAAAAGAACAAUACAUGCACACAUAGUAAAGGCCAACGCAUAGUAUAAACAGUUUCUUGCAAUUUUAUCAUGUUGGAGACAUAGAGAGGUGGAGAUAUAGUUCCUCUUUCAUAAUAAUUGCAAGUAGGAGCAGAAAACACAUGCAUAUUAUAUCUAUCAAAAUCAUCAUGUGCAACGGUAAAAGGAAACCCAUCAAUGUAAUCCUUAAUAAGUGCAAACUUCUCCGAGAUAGUGUAGUUGGGAGAAUUCAAAAAGAUAAUAGGACUAUCAUACAUGGGUGCAAUAGCAACAACUUCAUGUUUAACAUAAGAACUAUAGCAAGUUCAUCUCCAUAAGCAUCAUUCAUAUUGGCAUCUUGGCCACAAGCAUAGCAAGCAUGAUCAAAAAGGGAUAUUUCAAGAGAAUCAAAGGGAUCAUAACAGUCAUCAUAGCAAUCAUCCUUCGGUAAGCACGAAGGGGAAUUAAACAAUGUAUGAGUUGAAGAGUUACUCUCAUUAGAAGGUGGGCAUGGGUGAUCAAUCCGCUCUUCCUCCUUUUGUUCUUCGCUCUCCUCAUCAUCUUUUUCAUCCAAUGAGCUCACAGUUUCAUCAAUUUAUUCUUCCAUAGCUUCCUGCAAAAUAUUAAUCUCUUCUUGGACAGCGGAGACUUUCUCAAUAAAUGCAUUAAUAUAGUAAUAGUAUUCAUAAUUCUCAUAGCAAUAUUUGAGGAUAGCUAAAUUUUCAGAUCUAUAACAAGCAUCAUCAAUAUCAUCAAACUCUUUAAACAUAGAUUCAAUUUCAUAAGCACCCAUAAAAGCAACAAAUUCUUCUAUUUGUUCCACAUCAUAGUAAUCAUAAAUACCUCUAGCAUAAGAAGCCAAUGUUUCAUUAUCAUUAAAUUGCAUGAAAAGGGAAGGUGUGGAGAAUUCAUCCUAGAGCAACAAGUAUAAUCAUAUCUCAAGCAUAGACUCCAGGCAUACCAACACAACAUAAUAAAUUGAUCCCAUAAUAGUUUCUCUUUUUGUGUCAAGCGAUAAUCCCUAAAGUAUUCACGUUGAUCCAACGUGUCUCCCAUUAUAAAGUUGAAUGGGGUUUUCUAAGGAUUAUCAAAGUAGUACUUAAUAUCUUUCACAUAAUGAGAAUCGAGGGUUUUAGGAGUUACCCCAUCUCCAUGAGUAGCAAGUACACCUAAUUUCUUUGGUAUUUCGUGUUCCAUAUCCAUAGCUAAAGAUAAAGAACAACUAAGAACAACAAAUAAAAAUUACUUAGUGAUAAAGCAAACAAGCACACACGAGAAUAUUCACCCCACGCUAUUGCUCCCCGGCAACGGCGCCAGAAAAAAGUCUUGAUAACCCACAACUAUAGGGGAUCGCAACAGUUUUUGAUAAGUAAGAGUGUCGAACCCAACGAGGAGCUAAAGGUAGAACAAAUAUUCCCUCAAGUUCUAUCGACCACCGAUACAACUCUACACACGCUUGACGUUUGCUUUACCUAGAACAAGUAUGAGACUAGAAGUACUUUGUAGGUGUUGUUGGAUAGGUUUGCAAGAUAAUAAAGAGUACGUAAAUAAAAAGUAGGGGCUGUUUAGAUAAAGAAACAAUAAAGUAAAUAUAGCGAGUGUGGAAAAGUGGUGGUAGGUGUUGUGGAAUUGCCCCUAAGCAAUUGACUACUUUACUAGACCGAUAGCAAGUAUUAUGUGGGAGAGGCCACUGCUAGCAUGUCAUCCCUGACUUGGAAUUCUAUGCACUUAUAAUUGGAACUAUUAGCAAGCAUCCGCAACUACUAAUGUUCAUUAAGGUAAAACCCAACCAUAGCAUUAAGAUAUAUUGGUCCCCCUUCAAUCCCGUAUGCAUCAAUUUCUAUGCUAGGUUGAAGCUUCUGUCACUCUUGCCCUCCAAUACAUAGUCCUAUCAACAUACAACUAACCCUAGGGUGUGAUCCACGCGCGCAAUCAUAUGAUGGGCACCAAAGGACAGCAACAUAACCACAAGCAAAUUAGAUCAAUCAUAGCAAUUCAUCAACCACCAAUAGGACAACGAAAAUCUACUCAGACAUCAUAGGAUGGCAACACAUCAUUGGAUAAUAAUAUGAAGCAUAAAGCACCAUGUUCAAGUAGAGGGUACAGCGGGUUGCGGGAGAGUGGAGCGCUGUAGAUAGAGGGGGAAGGUGAUGGAGAUGUUGGUGAAGAUAGCGGAGGUGUUGGUGUAGUUCGCGGUGAUGAUGAUGAUGGCCACGGCAGCGUUCCGGCGCCACCGGAAGAGAGGGGGAGAGGGGCCCCCUUCUUCCUCUUCUUCCUUGACCUCCUCCCAAGAUGGGAGAAGGGUUUCCCCUCUGGUCCUUGGCCUCCAUGGCAUGGGAGGGGCGAGAGCCCCUCCGAGAUUGGAUCUAUCUCUUUGUUUCUCUCUGGUUCUGCGUUCUAUCCUGGUUCUGUUUCACCUUUUCGUGUAUAUAUGGAGAUCCGUAACUCCGAUUGGCCUGAAACCUUCACCAUGAUUUUUUCCGAAUAUUAGCUUUCUUGCGGCAAAAGAAGAGCGUCAACCGCCUUACGGUGGGCUCACGAGGGUAGGGGCGCGCCCUAGGGGGGGGCCCUGCCUCGUGACCACCUCGGGCACUGGUUCACGUUGAUUUUCCUUCCGAAUUUUCCAUAUUUUCCAAAAAUAAGCUCCGUCCGUUUUUAUCCCGUUUGGACUCCAUUUGAUAUGGAUAUUCUGCGAAACCAAAAACAUGCAACAGACAGGAACUGGCACUGGGCACUGGAUCAAUAUGUUAGUCCCAAAAAUAGUAUAAAAAGUUGCCAAAAAGUAUAUGAAAGUUGAAUAAUAUUGGCAUGGAACAAUCAAAAAUUAUAGAUACGAUGGAGACGUAUCAGACGACGACGGUGGACCGGCUCGAGUGCGGCGUACGAGGUCGUCAUGAGGCAGAUGCGCUGCGGUGGACGAGUGCGCCAAUGUAAAGGUGAGGAGCACGAAGGCUGCGGUGCCGUGGAGAAGUCUAUUUUGCGGUGGGGAUAGAAAUUGGGGAGUAUUCAGGUGUACUACUCUGGGUGUCGGGGUGGGGUUGGCUGGGUAGGAUGAACCUGAAGUUACGAAAACAACCCCCUACCAAGCUUCAUCCGUAGGCCUGUUCCGAAGGCUAUGAUGGUAACUUCCCACUGCUCGAAUCAGGGUCGCGGGAGAUUUUCCCGCCGACCUCAAAAUUUUGUGACACUGGACUCCCCGUGUGGCGUGUUAAGUGAUUCGGCUAAGCAACUAGCAAGUAGUAGUAGUAAACUCUGCAUAUUAGGUUUGACCGAAGUCAAACUUCCUAAAGUUUGACCAAGUUUAUAGAAAAAUAUAAACAUUUACCAUAACAAAUAUGUAUGAUGUGAAAGUACAUUCAAUAAUGAAUCUAAUGGUAUUUAUUUGUUAUUGUAUAUGUUAAUAUUUUUUGUUAUAAGCUUUCUGAGAGUUUACAAAACUUGACUUUGACCAAUGCUAAUACGCGGACUUAAAUAAAAACGGAGGGAGUACACAUUUGUUUUCUUAGUUUGUAGUGAACUAAUCAUUUGUUGAAAUUAUGAAAUAAAUAUAUUAGGAUAUUGACUUCGAAUGUAAUGGUCUAUACAAUUCAAUAGUUACAAUCAUUGUCGAAUCCCAAGAUGUAUACAAGGUCUAUAGUACUUCACAACAUGAUCAAACUCACAUAAUCCCAGUCAAAUGAGAAUCUAAAUGCAUUUCAUAGUUAUUACUUUGUAGGAUGCAACAAGAACAACCAUAACUCUACAUCAACCAUUAUAGAAGCAACAUUGUGACAUAUCCCAAUAUGUGAAUGAAACAUGCAGAGAGAGCUUUUGAAGAUGGAGCAAAUAGGGCGGGAAAGAUUGUAUGUAUGUGGACGAGAGAGUAGGAGACAAACCUAAUGCGACACACAGAAAGAGAGAGAAAGAGAGAGGAAGAAGUUAGGUCUGUGAGAAAGAUGCAUACAUGUAAUAUACAUGAGAUGCGUGUGCAUCUGGAUUCUGUAUACGUGGAAGGAGAAGAGACAACAUGUUUGAUGAGAGAGCAGGAAAAACAUGGACGAGAGGGGAAGGAUCUCGUGGGUUGAGGGAUUGACAAUUUUGUGCGGGGGAGAGAGGGAUUGGUAAUUUUGUGCAAGAGAGAGAGGAUGGGGGGAGGAGUCAGUCAGCCAUCGUCACAUCACCCUGCUUCCAAAUGACCCCGCAUUCUCUAGCGUGGUGUGGUCGCCGUCUUCGAUCUGCUCGUUGCCCUCUUUGAAGAUUGAGGUGUUGUGCAUGUUGGGGUGCAAAGAAGCACAAGCGAGAGUGGUCGCCGUAUAACCUUGGAUGGGGAUGAAUUGUGUGCUCGGGGGAGUGUGUGUGUGUGUGUGUUGUGCUGCGUGUGUCUAUGUGUGUGUGUGUGUGUGUGUCUCAGAUAUUGAGUGAAAACAAACCUAAGGAGAGAAAUGGGUAUUCACGAAGAGAUUGUGCGGGCCUUGAGGUGGGCAGGGGCCGGGUGAGGGUGUCAAAAUGUGCGCGUUGAUGCAUGUGUUGCAUGCGACCGUGCGAGGGACGGACGAAUCGAGAGAGAUGGUUGUUGUGUUACAGAUGCUCCUCUCUCUGUCUCUCUCUCUCCCUCUCUCUCUCUCUCUCACACACACAAGUAAACUAGAAGACCGUUCUCUCAUGUAUACACAACGUAUCGGCAUCUGUCUAUGUCUCACUCAUGCACGAUCAUUUGCACAUUCACACCUCUCUAUGUUUGUAUCACACGCACACCGUCUCCACAUUGCCCUUCCGCCACAACACACAUAUGGACACAUACACACGUUCUCUCUCAGUCACACACACAAAAUCAGUAUUAAAAAAUAGGGCGCACCUAAAAAGUCCAAAUCCAAACAAACACGAACUGGAGCUAAAUUCAAAUAUAUGGAAAUAUUGCAGCGUCAAGAACUUUCACACGAAAAAAAGUUGAGUAAUAUUCGACGAUUGUUUUCACACACACAAAAAGGUUCGGUGGAUGUCCUUCGAGCGCGACACGGUGAUGCACUGUUCGAUCGACCGCGCGGCCGCGGUUCACGCGCUUGCACAGGAUUCCGUAUCGUGGCCGUGGUACUAAGGCUGGUCACAAUGGGCAAGAACAUAAGCUAGUAACUAAUAAAAGUGCUGCCUAAGUCUAAUGUUUACGUGUACUAGUACGGUUUUCUUUUAAGUUUGACCAACCUUAUAUAUAAAACUAAAGUAAACUCCCACACGCGCACUCAUCAAUGUGCCGCCGCCGCCGUUGCGCAUGUCGGCGCCCGCCUGCUCCGGCCAACAAUUUCUCGCCCAUCACCGCCGUGUCGCCGCCAUCCCUAUGCCAUGAAGCCGAAGGCUCACCCGCUCACGUCAUCUGCAGUCCCUCCUCGCGAUGCCGCCGCGCUGCCAAGCACGCGAGCAGCUGGUGGAGCCGUGUCUAUGCACGCAGCGUAUGAAGAGGAGGACGAGCGCGUGCUCCAGCACGACGGCAAGGAGGAACUAGCGUGUCAUUGUCGUCUCCGCCCGUGUGGAGGAGGCGCGCAUGGUGGCUGUCGUGGCGGAAGCCGGCCGCGCGCGCGUCGAGCCCGCAAACCGGGUGCAGACGCGGAAUCUACCUUCGAGACCUUGAAUGCCACGUGGAUCCUGCAAUCUGAAGGAGCAAUUUGGGUCAGUCGACUCAUGUGAGCCGUUUGAUGCAACAUGGAUGGCUAGAAGGGCUUCUUCCACCUCUUCUGCUGUCUUCUUCCUUCGCUCCGUCGAACUUCUUUCACAAAUCAACUGACCCAAAUUAUACUACUAGUACGAAUGUAUUAAGUACAGUAGGAACACGAAGAUACGAGCAGUAGUACCAACUGCAAGAAGAACAAUAGUAAGACAUAGUACUAGUACUACUGUACAUACUAAAGAGUUCAAAUAACGAGAAAGAACAUAAACGUAGUUCUGCUGGGGCCUCAGCACAGCACACCCUUGAAAAUAAACUAAUAAGCAACUAGUCCGCUUGACACUGCAGUAGAACCAGCAUGAGCGACGGCACUGCCACCUACUUGGAGUCUGAGUCCACGUCCUCGACUUCGUCCUCAUCCCUCUUCCUCUUCCUCUUCGCCGACGCUUCUUUGCUUGAACCGGACACUAGGCUCUGCUUCUUCAUCCAACCCUUGUAGAUAUUUAAACAAAGGUAGGCAUCCAUUGCUACGUACAGGAUGUGAUCUUCAUCUAAUGUCUUCGACUCCCAUGCAUGAUGAAACUCAUGAUGAGGUCUUCAAUUUAGCGUACGAAGGAUCAAUCAUGGCUGCUGCCAGGGUCAGCAUUGAAGGUUGAGAGGAGGACACCAGGCUUGCCUUCUGGAGAUUGAAGGGCUGGCCUACAACGAGACCUAUCCGACGCAGGACGUCACUGUCGUUCUUAAAGCCUACAGUAAUGAAUUUCAGUCUUUUGUCCUUGAGGAAGUUCUUAAAAUCCUGGCACUCAACGUCGGCAUGGCAUAUGUGGUAGACCAAGCAAAUGUUAUGUACGCAAACCUGGAUCAAGGCGGGCUUCUUCCUCUCUUCGUCCUUUAGAUCCUUCUCUCGUCCCAGGACUGUGGUGUACUCAACAUCUAGCCCAGCGACCCACUCAUCCAUUGAACUGUUGAACGUGCGUAGGAAGCGAGCAAGCCAUGCUUUCACCAUCUCGGAUCCACGUGUGUAGAUGACGAUGAACUGAUCGCCGGUUAUGGCUCUAACCUGGUACUCAGCGGCGACCAUGGAGAUUUGGGAGGCCAUGGAUUUUCAAGGAGGGUUAGGAGAAGUUGAACUGUUGUACCCCGCAAAAAAAACUGGGAGCGAACUGAUGUGAAAGGACGGGACGAUUGGGAGCGAACUGUUGUAAGGUAGAAGACGGGGACGAGUAAGGCGUGCGAACGGCGUGGGGUUGCUGGCUUGCCCGGUGGAUAAACGGCUACAAGCCCCCAAAGAGUUCUCGAGAACUAUGUGGGACCCACUAGAUGUCAUGUCUACUAGAUCCAUAUCGUAGGCCUGACGGUAUAGCUUCUGCCUGUUCGCACGCCAUGCCGGCGCGUGGAUGUAACUUCACUUAAUUCCGUCAAAUGUCGCGCCUCCCAUGACCUUCGCCUCCCUCGCAUGGUCGCGCCCUUUGAGACUUUGACCGGCUAUAAAUGAGCAAUUUUUUUGCCUUUUUUUAGACAAGCAAUUUUUUUGCCUACUCCGCAUGCAUGAUACUCCCUCUGGUCCUUUUUACUCCCGUCAACCAUUUGCAAAGUGUUUGACCAAAUUUAUACUUUUUUUGAACACCACCUUAUAUUAAUUAACCAGCCACACUAGUACACUCAUUCGAUACAAUAUUCACCACACAGGGCGGUACGUUAUUUACAAGAAUACCAUCUAAUCUAUUGUCAAAGCUAUACUUAGCGAUUAAGUGUGCCACCUUAUUGGCCGAAUGGCUAAUCUUUGACAAUUGAAGAUUGUUAAUCAACUUCGAGAUGCUCAACGCUUUCAUCUUCAGGUCACGCAUAGCAGACAUGUCAACGCUUUGACAUGCAUCAAUGAAAUCCCACGACCAAAUUUAUACUAAAAAUAUCAAUAUCUACAAUACUCCCAAAACACUUAGGCGCGAUGCAUUAACUUCUACCUCAUUUCUUGUUUCUUGACAUAUCAACCAAUAGGAGAUGUGGGCGUGCAUGCUUUUAAUGACUUGAGACCACCAAACAUGACAUGGAGUGGUUAGUUCAUUGCAUGCAAUGAUAUUAAUUAGCAAAUAAACAUUAAGAUCUCUCGUUUUCCCCUCCUCCUUGGUCACAGUGCACAAUCUAAGAUGACUUGCUCACCUAGAUGGAGGGAGUACUGAUUAUAAUGAGUAUAAGAACUAUGUUUUAUAAUGAGUGUAAAAAUAUUGAUUUGACAUUGUGAAUGAUGACACAUUGUGGAAUAGUUUUUGAAGUCUGCAAAAGUACUCAACUAGUGCUGUCGUUCUCCACAAAAAAAUGUGUUUACCAAUGCAUGCAUGAACUCUAGUUACUCUAACCCCCCUCUCUUCUUUAAUUCUUUGCCACAUCAGCAUGUUUGCUAUUCCCGUGUGCAUGAUACCAGCUAAGAUACCACCAUUAUGGCCAGCCUUAAUCAUCGCAUGCAAUAAUUUAGUGCACCUUGAAAUAUGAACAUGUGUGGGGCGUGUUUGUUUUUAAUGACUUGAGACUAUACCUAGCCCGGCAUGCAAGAUGACUUAUUAUGCACCAUUCCCCAUACCUCCAGGAAGCCCAUUCGUCUCCAAUUUUUUUCCUCUCCAUGUGUGGAAACAAUAUGCCUGCCAAACUCUCCUUCUCCCUGCGGCGGUCCCACCACUCCACCCCGUGUGAAAAAAUCUGCAUGCAUGACUCUCCUCCCCCACGCUCGUCCAAUCCGUUGUGACCAGCAAUAUUUCCACCCCUUCGCUCCCCCGUAAUUUACUCCAACAAAUAUGCCCAUGUAGCUGUUACUUAACUGCAGGUGCAUUCGGUCACUGACAUAUGGGCCCAACAGGGGUCUGGCCCACAUGUCAGUGACGCAAUUGGACCGGCAGUUAAGUCAGUGCAGCUCAGUCCAUAUCUUACGUAGGUGUGCCAUUGCUCACUAUAAAUACUGUGCCUCCUACACGACAUCGCUAUCUCCUCCCCUCACGUUCAUGUUCAUCGCUAUCUCCUCCACCUCCCUCUCACGUCGACCACCAUGGCAUCGCCCCUCCCAAGCCCUAGGAGCCCCUCGCUGCACCGCGCAGAUGGUCACGCGUCGCCGUUCCGUUCCUCGCCACCACUAGUCGAGGAGGACGCGUCGGUGUUCCGCUCCUCGCCACUAUGCGACGUGUCACUGUUCCGUUCCUCGCCGCCACUAGUCGAGGAGGAUGUGUCGGCGUUCCGCUCCUUGCCGCGAUGCAUCGAGGUGGACGCGUCGGUGUUCCCAAUCUCGCCAGCACGUGCACCGGAGGACGUGUUGGCUCCCCGCUACGAGGAGAAUGCCGCGCCGCCCGCCGAGCCCCCCAGCCUUGAGGAGCUUUGGAAAGAAAUGGAUGUCGCCUUGUGGGAGGCUUUGCCUCCAGCAGAGCGCGCCAAAAAUAGAGGCAGAGAAGAAGGUCGAGGAAGAGAAGCGCACUGUGGAACAAGCUGCCUGGGAGGCCUAUGUCGCGUCCGAGAGAGUCAGGCAAUUGGCUCUUUGGAAGAAGGCUCGUGCGAGGGCCGUGAGGGUGGCGGAGGAUGCCCGUGCUGACGCCCUGAGUGUAGUCGGGCCCAAGCGCCUCAUCUACGCUUGGCGGUACGUGGACCGGGUGCAUGUUUCCAGCGAGGAGGAGUACCUGUUGGCGCCGGAUCACCACACCGGUGAGAUCGCGCUCGCCCGCCGACAAGCCGCCAAUCAGCACCUCGUGAGUUGCGAGGCUGAGGAAGAGGUGUUGUGUCGGCGCGCUGGGAAAUGGCCACGCACCAGGGCACUCAUGGCACGCCGCAAGUGCUCCUACGAGCGUCGUGGCUUUUAUGAGGAGUAUACUUUUUGUUUCGUAAGGCGAUCUCAUUAGUUUUGGGACGCAAAUGAUAAAUCCUGAACGUUCAUGAAUUUUUAGCGUCCUUAAUUAAGUAUGCAAAAGGGAAAGUUUGGAAACCUUGUGUAUUCGUACGCAUUUUGCAAGUACAUGCAUAUAUCACAAACUUUACUAUAUACUAUCGCACUACACGUCUCUCUCGAUAUAUGCUUGCAGACUGUGCUACUCCCUCCGUCCAGGUUAAUAAGUCAUCUUCGGUUGUGCACCGUGACCAAGAAGGAGGGAAGACUUAUACACCUAGACGGAGGGAGUACUACUAUUACUUAUGUACGUGCAAAUGCACGUUUUAACAUCACGAUGCGGUUUUUGUAGAAGUAGAAAAACAACACUAGUCAAGCUUGUGAAACGAUUCAAUGCAAAAGAAAUGCAAAAAUGCUUGUUUGAUUGUUUACUUUUAGCUUCCUUCUCUGUGGUUAUUUCUCUGUCGUACUUUGUAUGGAGUAUCUCACUGGUUGGAAAGGCAUGCAAAUUCCCAAACCGCUUCCUACACCCUGUAUCUCACUGGUUGCCAGCGUUGAUGUUGUCGCCCAUGUCGAGGAUGAGGUUGCCGAGGUCGGGGAAGAAGUUGUCGUUCGCGAAGUCGUCGCUGCCAGCAGUCGCACGAGUGCGCUCCCCAAAAACCUGAUCGCCCCUCUCCCGUACAGGAUCACGAGAGGCGGGGUUCCGGAGGCCUGCUGUCCCUUCUCCCGGUGCACACCAAAAGGAGGAAUGGAGAAGACUUGCUUGGCGGCGCAAUGAUCUGGAACGGUGGUGAGAAACUAUAUAGUGCGGGCCGGGUAGGUCGUGGGAGUAUAGCUCUGUCCUCGGCUCGGCUCAAUCCCGCAACCCACGGCGCGUCGUGACAAGGCCUGGCAUGGCGAGGCAAGCGAGGAGGAGGAGCGCACGUGUAGGUUUCCUCUUCUCAUGCUCAUACAAGUGGUAGAAGAGCUCACCUUAUAAAGGCCUACUAGCAAAAUUCCAACAUCGACCAGGCCGUCCAUGAAAUGGGAGUGGCUGUAGGGGACGUUGCGCCAGUUGAAUAUAUGAGCAAGUUACUAUGAGAUUUAAUCCGAAUAAGCACAAAAUAAAUCAUGACGGCUAUAACAGAGAUGAAACUAAUCAUGUGGACUAGCAUAGUAGUAGGAUACAGAGUAGAAACAUGAAUUCUACCACGAUUUCGAACAGGAAGGAUAGAAACACAUACGGUGCAAUGGGAGCAGCACCGUUGGCGUUGAGGUUGUCGCCCAUGUCCAAACACCACGUAGACACAGUCUUUGAGCACGGUUUUUAGUCGUUCCAUGCUCGGGCAUUGAAGUUUGUAACUAUUUUAGAUUAGAAUAUACUACUCCUCCGGUGCUAGUAGUAGAGCAGAGUCCUACUCUACUACUCUACUCAAGCAAGUUAGGGCAUAGCAUUGUAGGGAGUACCAGUACUGUGAUCACUCAAGCAAGUUGUCUGGCAUCGACAUGACCCUAUGCUGCUGGUAUGUGUCUCGUAAGUCAAGCGGCGUGCUGUAGUCAUCAUCACCUGUCCACUUCCCGCAGCACAUAUUCGCUUCUCCAUCUUUGUCCGCACAUAAUCUCGUCCAAUCUUCCAUCCCCGCUAAGGCGCCUCCCCCUUGUCCGAAACCCAAGCACUAACAAUGGCAGAACUGAGCAGCGUUCGCCAAAAGAGUGGCUGGAAUUCGCUCCCCACAGAGUUAAUCAAGCUCAUUGUUUCACGUGUGGACAAUCUCAGUACCAUGCCGCUCGCCGCGUCCUCGUCGGGGCUGUACCAUUUAUUCAAAGCCCUCAGGCCGGAGAUUUUUAAGCCAACUCCUUGCUUGCUGAUGCUGCCUGAUCUUCAGAAACGGCAUGUCACGCAGCAUAAAGAUCGUAGGGUGGCGAGCAUCAACCCCCUUGACUGUGAUCCGAUCCCCGUCAGCCUCAACUACAUUAACAGUAUGUACUGGGUCGGCAUGAACACGUCUUGGAUGGUGCUCGUCGACGGUCGCGGCAGCUGGAUGCUCGUGGAGGUCUACACCCGGCGAUUGAUCCCCCUUCCUUCGAUUAACACUACACUGCUUUGGCACCGCGGCCCAGAAUACUCGGAAUCUUACAGUUGCCAACAUGAUACCAAGUUUGAUUUGCUCAAGGUUGUAAUCUGCCAAGUGCCCACAAGAUCUGUGAAUUAUAAAGACUUCAGGCUAAUUGCGUUCUUCAACCGCGGUCUCGCCUAUCUGACAGGUCACUGCGGUAAGUGGAUAAAUCUACACGUCCAUCGCAGGAUCAUACAUCCUCCAUGGUUCUCUGAUGCCAUUGAACACAAGGGCUUCAUUUACGCUGUUGACUCCUUCUAUGGCUGGACGUAUUGCUGGCCUACUCCAGUCAUCGCUACAAACAACUAUUACAACAGUAUGUUACUUUCCUAUGAUAUCAUGAUGGCUUGCUUAUAUUACUGUCAACAUUUGCUGAAAAAAUAUUCAUGCUCAUAACAUGUUGUUCUUAAGAUUGACUAAACCAAGAGCCCUUUUUUAUCUGACUCCAACUUGAUAUGAUGUUGUAGGCCGCCUGGUGUCCCUACCCUUCCUAAUCCCAGAACCUUUCAAAGAAAAGCGUCAUGGCAGUUGCAGGUGGUUCCUGGCUCGAUCAGACGACGGCGAAAGAUUGAUGAUCGUUCGCACGUACCGGACGUUUUGUUUCGCGGAAUACAAUCACAGUCACUGCAAGGUCUUUGAGCAGGAUCCCAGCUUCUCUGGGCCUUCAGGAAUUUAUGACUGGAGGCUGGUAAGUAGCCUUGGUACACGCUCUCUGUUUGUCGGACUGAAUUAUUUGAUUAAUCAGGAGAUAACCGACGGCAAGGAUCAUGAUGGCAGCGCGGUUUCAUUCAUCAGGCAAAACUGUGUGUACACAUCGUACCAUGCGUCUCUGCAUGCACCAUACCCUGAUAUGUGCUGCCACGCUCUGCAGCCCAAAGUAGGAGAGAGGGUCGCAAGUAUCAGACUUCGACCUGCUGGCUGGAGUUUCCUCCGUCAGGCACCCAUCUGGUUCAAGCCGUCAGCCAAUCUCCACAGCUUAAUAAAUAGUAACGUCUAACUGAGCUAGUUAGUUAGAUGCGUACACUUGGUGUAGUAGGAUCUUUAUUUAGUUUGAUGCAUACACCUGUUCUUUUUUGGUAGCCCUUUUGUAAUGAUGGCUGAUGUUUGGUUUGGAAGAGAGAGAUGCGUCUUCACUCUUCUGGCCUGCUUACUGCUUCUAUUACAGCCCCAGCCCUGGUUACUGCUGCUGUUUUCAAUGUACAAUCAGUAGUAUAUUUUGUCUAUUGGUUGAAUAAAUGUGUUUUUAGAGCGACAAACACAAUGUUUUGGAAGUCGUUGCACGGUUCGAUCCUUUAGUGCCCUUUACCGUACAUAGCGCAUAGUAUUUAUCGUAUGGAACACAUUUUUUUUUGAAACUCGGAACACAUUUUCCACUUGUUGAUAACAUGCAGCCCACUAAUGAAGGCCAAAUAGAGAAGCCCAUAAUUAACUGGAAGGGAGGCUCUCACAUGAAUCCGGCCCAGGUACAUGCUCAUGGUCCCCUAAACAUAAAUAAGUAAAUAAAUAAAUAAAUAAAGCUAAAUGCUCAUGCACGAGUUCUUUGGGAAAAUAGGUAGCCCAAUAUUUCUUUUUGAAGAAUACCCAAGCUAGGCCUAUUUGUUUUCUCCGAAUUACUGGGCUGCAAAUCUUUUAAGAUGAGGAGGGAUGCAUUCCGGCCUGGCUUAAGAGUAUGGUCAAUGUUUGUUAAAAGUAAUAUCAAAAGGGGUUGAAAAUUCCAAAAAAUUUAUUGCAAAUGGGAUAUAAGUUUCUUUUUUUGUUUUUGUUCUUCACUGAUAUCUUAUACGUAUUUCAUUGGAUUUAACAUGACAUAGUACUAAUUUAUUUUUAAAUUUGUUUUAGUAUGGCUAUUAAUUUUUGGAUUAAGAAUAUUUCGUUCCCCAGCUAAAAAUUGCGAAUUUUCAAAAUUUCCCACAUAUUUAAUUAAUUUUUUGACCCUGGUACUGACCAGAAAAUGGUCAGCAAUUCUAAAAAUGAAAAACGGGCUGCAAUAAAUUCCAUAUGAAUUAGAAAAUGAGUAAAAAUUAUAAAAAUAAUAGCAAAUGGGUUGUACACGCCACAUAUUUCUAGGCUGACUUGUUUACGCAAGGCUUUGUCAGUGAACACACGAUUCUAGCAGCAGUUAGUGUUGGAUGUCCAUCCAACAGCCGACGUGCUUCUUCAAUCUCUGAUCUUCCUGCUCCAGCCGCCUAAACUAGCACCGGCGGGACUGCCUGCUCCCUCCUCUUGUGGCCCGCUGUGAUGCCGCGUAGGCUUCCCCGGCCCACCCUACUCCCUCCGCUGGCCUGGCCGCAAGCAAUCAAUUGCCUCCUUAUUACACGAAAAAAUGAUUCCUCCCACUGACAUCUGGGGCGCACCGGUUGGGAGGCUGACCUGUGGGCCUACUAAGUUGACGCGUACGCAGGGCUUGUCAACUUAGUCAACAAACGAUUCGCAGCAGUAACCGUUGGAUUUGGAUCGAACGGUCCUGCUGCUUCUUCAAUCGCUGCUCUUCUUGCACCAGCCGCCCAAACCAGCGCCGGGGAGACCUCCUGCUCUUGCCUCUAGUGGCCGGCUGUGCUGCCGAUGAGGCAUCAUCGCCCCCUACUACUCCCACCGCUAGCCAGGCCCUGCGGCAACGGCAGCCUCACACCGCAGGCAAACCAGUGAACCCUCGUACUCCUCUCUGCGUGGGCAUCCACUGCCGCGUCUUCCCCGCUCCGCGUCGUCCCCUUCCUAGGCCUUGUCUUCGUCCACCGCCUUGGUGCUCUCGGUGCAGCAUGGUCAACGUGGUCAACGACAUUCCAUCGGAAGAGUACUGUACGUGGAGAGGCUGACAGUUGGGUCCACGGCCGCAACCCAGUUUUUUGUGAUUUUCCAAGUAAGUCACUUUGUCAGGCCUGUUGGGCUGCAAAUAUUUCAAGAUGAGGAGAGCUUUCAUUCGGCUGGCCGAGAAAAUGGCCCAUCAGUAAUGAGAAAUGGGCUAUACAUUUUUAAAACACAUCAAACCGGCAAUUAGUUUCAAAUAUCUUUUUUUCAUUUCGAGAUUUGAAAUUACAUUAAUUUUUAUGUGUGGAGAAUUUGUUGGAUUUUAUAUUGAUAUACAUUUAUUUUUAAAAUCAGUUUGAAUGUGAGUCGAAAUUUCAGGAUUACAAACAGUUCGGACCGCACCGAAAUAUGCAAAAUUUCGUAUAAUUUUUUAACCGUGCCACAAUAUGGGCUAUAAUGCUAACAAAAAGAAUAUGGGCUCCAAGAAAACCUUAAUAAUUAGCAAAUGGGCUGUAAAUUAUUAUAAAUAAUGGCAGAUGGGUUGUAUGCUGUUUUCCACAGAUUUGAGGCUUUCCUAAAAAAAGGUUGACGCACAAGCAGUGACUGUUGGAUGGCCAUCCAACGGCUGUCGUGGUUCUUCAAUCUCUGCUCUUCCUGCUCCAGCUGCUCAAACAGGCGCCAGCGGGACUGCCUGCUCGCUCCUCCCCGCGACCGGCUCUGCUGCCGCACAGGCCUCACCGCCCCACCAUACUCCCAUCGCUGGCCUAGCCAUCCCUCUACUCACCCACACCUGCUGUUAUUCUCCGGCGACGACAGACGAACCAGUAAACCCUCGUACAGUCGUACUCCCCUCCACGUGGGAAACAACUGCCGAUUCUUUCCUACCUCCGUGUCGUUCCCUUCCUAGGCCUCGCCGUCGUCCACCGCCCUGGUGCUCUCGGUGCGGCCUGGUCAACGUGGUCAACGACCGACAUGCAUCCGAAGUGGACUUUAGGUGGAGAGGCCGACAGUUGGAUCCACGGCCGCACGCAAGGAAAUGACUCCUUAUUAUGCGCAAAAUAAUGAUUCCUCCACCUGACAUCAGGGACCCACCGAAAGGGCCUCUGUAUUUCGUGAAAAAAACGUUGCCGUCGCUGACAGCUCGGACCCACCGGCUAUAUCUUCGCACACAAGGAAGUGCCUCCUUAUUACGCACAAAAAAAUGAAUACUCCCCCUGUUAGCUGGGACCCAAUAUAGUGGCAGGCUGACUUGUGGGACUACUAAGUUGACUGGGACGGAGGGCUUUGUCAACUUAGUCAAUAUGCACGAUUCUAGCUCCAGUGACCGUACGAUGUCCAUCCAACGGCCGUAGUGCUUCUUCAACCUCUGGUGUUCUUGCUCCAGCCGCCCAAACCAGCGCCGGUCGUGCCUCGUGCUCCUGCCUCCCGUGGCCGGCUGCGAUGCGGCGGAGGCCUCACCGCCCCCUACUACUCCCACCGCUGGCCAGACCAUCCCUCUACUCACCCACACCCCCUAUUAUUCUGCGGCGACGGCAGCCUCACACCACAGCGAACCAGCGAACCUAGUACUCCUCUACGCAUGGGCAUCCACUACCGCAUCUUCCCCGGCUCCGUGUUAUCCCCUUCCUAGGCCUCACCGUCGUCCACCGCCCUGGUGCUCUCGGCACGGCAUGGUCAACGUGGUCAAGGAACGGCUUCCAUUGGACGUGGACUGUACAUGGAGAGGCUGACAGCUGGGUCCACGACCACAGCAAGGAAGUGCCUCCUUAUUACGUGCAAAAUAAUUAUUCCUCCACCUGACAGCGGGACCCACCGGACGGGCCACCGUAUUUCGCCCCCCUGAAUGCUGGGACCCACCAGCUACAUCUUCGCACGCAAGGAAGUGCCUGACAGUCGGGACCCACCUGGUCGAAGCGUGCGUAGCGUUGUCAUUCUGGUCGCGAAUGUGUACGUACAUAUAUGCUGGUCGAUGUAGAGGCGCACACGUGUCGUAGUAGAGGCGGCCAGGGUGCAAGAAAGAAAAUAUGGCCACGUAUGUGUACAUACGGGCGGGGUCUCGAAUGCCUACUCACGCAUACGUAUGGCCAGGGCUCGUGUACAUGGCUGGGUCGAAACGGAGAAACAUCAUCGUCGUCGUGUUCAUGGGGAGGCAACAGAAUGCGUCAUGUUCAUGGGGAGGCAACGGAAUGCGUCGUGUUCAUCGGGAGGCAACAGAAUGCGUUGUGUUCAUUGGGAGGGCUUGGACGGAACAGGCGAUGGAAACGAGGCCUGGCGUACUGCAGAACGGAGGAAACGACCUUGUGUUCGACCGGCCACGUUCGAAACGGGAUCCUGUUCAUCGGGAGGGGUGUGGCGUACCGCAAAACGGAGGAAACGGACCUCCUACGGUCGAAACGGGGGUCCUGUUAAUCGGGAGGGGUGUGGCGUACCGCAAAACGGAAGAAACGGACUUGUGUUGGAGCGCUACGAUCGAAACGGGGGUCCUGUUUAUCGGGAGGGGUGUGUGUUGGAAAUAUGCCCUAGAGGCAAUAAUAAAAGCAUUAUUAUUAUACUUCCUUGUUCAUGAUAAUUGUCUUUAUUCAUGCUAUAAUUGUGUUAUCCGGAAAUCAUAAUACAUGUGUGAAUAAUAGACACCAACAUGUCCCUAGUAAGCCUCUAGUUGACUAGCUCGUUGAUCAAUAGAUAGUCAUGGUUUCCUGACUAUGGACAUUGGAUGUCAUUGAUAGCGAGAUCAUAUCAUUAGGAGAAUGAUGUGAUGGACAAGACCCAAUCCUAAACAUAGCACAAGAUCGUAUAGUUCGUUUGCUAGAGUUUUCCAAUGUCAAGUAUCCUUUCCUUGGACCAUGAGAUCGUGUAACUCCCGGAUACCGUAGGAGUGCUUUGGGUGUACCAAACGUCACAACGUAACUGGGUGACUAUAAAGGUAUACUACGGGUAUCUCCGAAAGUGUCUGUUGGGUUGACAUGGAUCAAGACUGGGAUUUGUCACUCCGUAUGACGGAGAGGUAUCACUGGGCCCACUCGGUAAUGCAUCAUCAUUAUGAGCUCAAAGUGACCAAGUGUCUGGUCACGGGAUCAUGCAUUACGGUACGAGUAAAGUGACUUGCCGGUAACGAGAUUGAACGAGGUAUUGGGAUACCGACGAUCGAAUCUCGGGCAAGUAACAUACCGAUUGACAAAGGGAAUUGUAUACGGGGUUGCUUGAAUCCUCGACAUCACGGUUCAUCCGAUGAGAUCAUCAUGGAGUAUGUGGGAGCCAACAUGGGUAUCCAGAUCCCGCUGUUGGUUAUUGACCGGAGAGUCGUCUCGGUCAUGUCUACAUGUCUCCCGAACCCGUAGGGUCUACACACUUAAGGUUCGGUGACGCUAGGGUUGUAGGGAUAUGUAUAUGCAGUAACCCGAAUGUUGUUCGGAGUCCCGGAUGAGAUCCCGGACGUCACGAGGAGUUCCGGAAUGGUACGGAGGUAAAGAAUCAUAUAUAGGAAGUGCUGUUUCGGCCAUCGGGACAAGUUUCGGGGUCAUCGGUAUUGUACCGGGACCACCGGAAGGGUCCCGGGGGUCCACCGGGUGGGGCCACCUGUCCCGGGGGGCCACAUGGGCUGUAGGGGGUGCGCCUUGGCCUACAUGGGCGAAGGGCACCAGCCCCAAGAGGCCCAUGCGCCUAGGGUUUCAAGGAGGAAGAGUCCUAGGAGGGGAAGGCACCUCCUAGGUGCCUUGGGGAGGAGGGAUUCCUCCCCUUGGCCGCACCACCCUAGGAGAUUAGAUCUCCUAGGGCCGGCGCCCCCCCCUUGGCCCUCCUAUAUAUAGUGGGGAGAUGGAGGACUUCUUACCUUGAUCUUUGGUGCCUCCCUCUCUCUCUCCAACACAUCCUCCUCCUCCAUAGAGCUUGGCGAAGCCCUGCCGGAGUACUGCAGCUCCAUCAACACCACGCCGUCGUGCUGCUGCUGGAGCCAUCUUCCUCAACCUCUCCUUCCCCCUUGCUGGAUCAAGAAGAAGGAAACGUCGCUGCUCCGUACGUGUGUUGAACGCGGAGGUGCCGUCCGUUCGGUGCUAGGAUCUUCGGUGAUUCGAAUCACGUCGAGUACGACUCCCUCAUCCCCGUUCUUUGAACGCUUCCGCUCGCGAUCUACAAGGUACGUAGAUGCAUCCAAUCACUCGUUGCUAGAUGAACUCAUAGAUGGAUCUUGGUGAAACCGUAGGAAAAUUUUUGUUUUCUGCAACGUUCCCCAAUGGUGGCAUCAUGAGCUAGGUCUAUGCGUAGUUCUUCUUGCGCGAGUAGAACACAAUUUGUUGUGGGCGUAGAUGUUGUCAACUUUCUUGCCGCUACUAGUCUUAUCUUGCUUCAGCGGUAUUGUGGGAUGAAGCGGCCCGGACCAACCUUACACGUACACUUACGUGAGACUGGUUCCACCGACUAACAUGCACAGGUUGCAUAAGGUGGCUGGCGGGUGUCUGUCUCUCCCACUUUAGUUGGAGCGGAUUCGAUGAAAAGGGUCCUUAUGAAGGGUAAAUAGAAGUUGACAAAUCACGUUGUGGCUUUCACGUAGGGAAGAAAACGUUCUUGCUAGAACCCUAUUUCAGCCACGUAAAACUUGCAACAACAAUUAGAGGACGUCUAACUUGUUUUUGCAACAAGUGCUUUGUGAUAUGAUAUGGCCAAAGUUGUGAUGAAUGAUGAAAGAUCUAUAUGUGAUGUAUGAGAUGUUCAUGCUAUUGUAAUAGGAAUCACGACUUGCAUGUCGAUGAGUAUGACAACCGGCAGGAGCCAUAGGAGUUGUCUUUAUUUUUAUAUGACCUGCGUGUCAUUGAGAAAUGCCAUGUAAAUUACUUUACUUUAUUGCUAAACGCGUUAGCCAUAGUAGUAGAAGUAAUAGUUGGUGAGCAACUUCAUGGAGACACGAUGAUGGAGAUCAUGAUGAUGGAGAUCAUGGUGUCAAGCCGGUGACAAGAUGAUCAUGGAGCCCCAAGAUGGAGAUCAAAGGAGCUAUGUGAUAUUGGCCAUAUCAUGUCACUUUUAUUAUUUGAUUGCAUGUGAUGUUUAUCAUGUUUUUGCAUCUUGUUUACUUAGAACGACGGUAGUGAAUAAGAUGAUCCCUCAUAAUAAUUUCAAGAAAGUGUUCCCCCUAACUGUGCACCAUUGUGACAGUUCGUUGUUUCGAAGCACCACGUGAUGAUCGGGUGUUAGAUUCUAACGUUCACAUACAACGGGUGUAAGACAGAUUUACACAUGCAAACACUUAGGUUGACUUGACGAGCCUAGCAUGUACAGACAUGGCCUCGGAACACAGAAGACCGAAAGGUCGAGCAUGAGUCGUAUAGAAGAUACGAUCAACAUGAAGAUGUUCACCGAUGUUGACUAGUCCGUCUCACGUGAUGAUCGGACACAGCCUAGUUAACUCGGAUCAUGUUAUACUUAGAUGACAGGAGGGAUGUCUAUCUAAGUGGGAGUUCAUUGAAUAAUUUGAUUAGAUGAACUUAAUUAUCAUGAACUUAGUCUAAAAUAUUUACAAUAUGUCUUGUAGAUCAAAUGGCCAACUUAGUCCUCAACUUCAACGCGUUCCUAGAGAAAACCAAGUUGAAAGACGAUGGCAGCAACUAUACGGACUGGGUCCGGAACCUGAGGAUCAUCCUCAUAGCUGCCAAGAAAGAAUAUGUCCUACAAGCACCUCUAGGUGACGCUCCCGUCCCACAGAACCAAGACGUUAUGAAACGCUUGGCAGACACAUGUUGAUGACUACUCCCUUGUUCAGUGCGGCAUGCUUUACAGCCUAGAGCCGGGGCUCCAAAAGCGUUUUGAGAGACAUGGAGCAUAUGAGAUGUUCGAAGAGAUGAAAAUGGUUUUUCAAGCUCAUGCCCGGGUCGAGAGAUAUGAAGUCUCCGACAAAUUCUUCAGCUGUAAGAUGGAGGAAAAUAGUUCUGUCAGUGAGCACAUACUCACUAUGUCUGGGUUACAUAACCGCUUGACUCAGUUGGGAGUUAAUCUCCUGGAUGAUGCGGUCAUUGACAGAAUCCUCCAGUCGCUUCCACCAAGCUACAAGAGCUUUGUGAUGAACUUCAACAUGCAGGGGAUGGAAAAGACCAUUCCUAAGUUAUUUUCAAUGCUGAAAUCAGCGGAGGUAGUAGUCAAGAAAGAACAUCAAGUGUUGAUGGUGAAUAAAACCACUAAGUUCAAGAAAGGCCAGGGUAAAAAGAACUUCAAGAAGGACGGCAAGGGAGUUGCCGCGCCCGGCAAGCAAGCUAUCGCGAAGAAGCCAAAGAAUGGACCCAAGCCCGAGACUGAGUGCUUUUAUUGCAAGGGAAGUGGUCGCUGGAAGCGGAACUGCCCCAAAUACUUAGCGGACAAGAAGGCCGACAAAACAAAAGGUAUAUGUGAUAUACAUGUAAUUGAUGUGUACCUUACCAGUAAUCGUAGUAGCUCCUGGGUAUUUGAUACCGGUGCAGUUGCUCACAUUUGUAACUCAAAGUAGGAGCUGCGGAAUAAGCGGAGACUGGCAAAGGACGAGGUGACGAUGCGCGUCGGGAAUGGUUCCAAGGUCAAUGUGAUCGCCGUCGGCAUGAUACCUCUACAUUUACCUUCGGGAUUAGUUUUAAACCUUAAUAAUUGUUAUUUAGUGCCAGCUUUGAGCAUGAACAUUGUAUCGGGAUCUCGUUUAAUUCGAGAUGGCUACUCAUUUAAAUCCGAGAAUAAUGGUUGUUCUAUUUAUAUGAGAGAUAUGUUUUAUGGUCAUGCUCCGAUGGUGAAUGGUUUAUUCUUUAUGAAUCUCGAACGUAAUGCUACACAUGUUCAUAAUGUGAGUACCAAAAGAUGUAAGGUUGAUAAUGAUAGUCCCACAUACUUGUGGCACUGCCGCCUUGGUCACAUAGGUGUCAAACGCAUGAAGAAGCUCCAUGCAGAUGGACUUUUAGAGUCUCUUGAUUAUGAAUCAUUUGACACGUGCGAACCAUGCCUCAUGGGUAAAAUGACCAAGACUCCGUUCUCAGGAACAAUGGAGCGAGCAACCGACUUAUUGGAAAUCAUACAUACUGAUGUGUGCGGUCCAAUGAGUGUUGAGGCUCGCGGUGGCUAUCAUUAUGUUCUCACCCUCACUGAUGACUUGAGUAGAUAUGGGUAUAUCUAUUUAAUGAAACACAAGUCUGAGACCUUUGAAAAGUUCAAGGAAUUUCAGAGUGAGGUUGAGAAUCAACGUGACAGGAAAAUCAAGUUCCUAUGAUCAGAUCAUGGAGAAGAAUACUUGAGUCACAAAUUUGGCACACACUUAAGAAAAUGUGGAAUAGUUUCACAACUCACGCCGCCUGGAACACCUCAGCGUAAUGGUGUGUCCGAACAUCGUAAUCGCACUCUAUUAGAUAUGGUGCGAUCUAUGAUGUCUCUUACCGAUUUACCGCUAUCUUUUUGGGGCUAUGCUUUAGAGACUGCCGCAUUCACUUUAAAUAGGGCUCCGUCGAAAUCCGUUGAGACGACACCGUAUGAAUUAUGGUUUGGGAAGAAACCUAAGCUGUCGUUUCUAAAAGUUUGGGGAUGCGAUGCUUAUGUCAAGAAACUUCAACCUGAAAAGCUCGAACCCAAGUCGGAAAAAUGCGUCUUCAUAGGAUACCCUAAAGAAACUAUUGGGUAUACCUUCUACCUCAGAUCCGAAGGCAAGAUCUUUGUUGCCAAGAAUGGAUCCUUUCUAGAGAAAGAGUUUCUCUCGAAAGAAGUAAGUGGGAGGAAAGUAGAACUUGAUGAAGUAUUACCUCUUGAACCAGAAAAGGGCAUAACUCAAGAAAAUGUUCCUGAGGUGCCUGCACCGACUAGAGAGGAAGUUAAUGAUGAUGAUCAAGAUACUUCUGAUCAAGCUCCUGCUGAAAUUCGAAGGUCCACAAGGACACGUUCCGCACCAGAGUGGUACGGCAACCCUGUCUUGGAAAUCAUGUUGUUAGACAACGGUGAACCUUCGAACUAUGAAGAAGCGAUGGCGGGCCCGGAUUCCGACAAAUGGCUAGAAGCCAUGAAAUCCGAGAUAGGAUCCAUGUAUGAAAACGAAGUAUGGACUUUGACUGACUUGCCCGUUGAACGGCGAGCCAUAGAAAAUAAAUGGAUCUUUAAGAAGAAGACAGACGCGGAUGGUAAUGUGACCAUCUACAAAGCUCGGCUUGUCGCUAAGGGUUAUCGACAAGUUCAAGGGGUUGACUACGAUGAGACUUUCUCACCGGUAGCGAAGCUGAAGUCCGUCCGAAUCAUGUUAGCAAUUGCCACAUUCUAUGAUUAUGAGAUAUGGCAAAUGGACGUCAAAACGGCAUUCCUUAAUGGUUUCCUUAAGGAAGAAUUGUAUAUGAUGCAGUCGGAAGGUUUUGUCGAUCCUAAGAAUGCUGACAAGGUGUGCAAGCUCCAACGCUCGAUUUAUGGGCUGGUGCAAGCAUCUUGGAGUUGGAACAUUCGCUUUGAUGAGAUGAUCAAAGCGUUUGGGUUUACGCAGACUUAUGGAGAAGCCUGCGUUUACAAGAAAGUGAGUGGGAGCUCUGUAGCAUUUAUCAUACUAUAUGUAGAUGACAUACUUUUGAUGGGAAAUGAUAUAGAACUUUUGGACAGCAUUAAGGCCUACUUGAAUAAGAGUUUUUCAAUGAAGGACCUUGGAGAAGCUGCUUAUAUAUUAGGCAUCAAGAUCUAUAGAGAUAGAUCAAGACGCCUCAUAGGUCUUUCACAAAGCACAUACCUUGAUAAGAUAUUGAAGAAGUUCAAUAUGGAUCAGUCUAAGAAGGGGUUCUUGCCUGUGCUACAAGGUGUGAAAUUGAGCUCAGCUCAAUGUCCGACCACGGCAGAAGAUAUAGAAGAGAUGAGUGUCAUCCCCUAUGCCUCAGCCAUAGGUUCUAUUAUGUAUGCCAUGCUGUGUACCAGACCUGAUGUAAACCUUGCCGUAAGUUUGGUAGGAAGGUACCAAAGUAAUCCCGGCAAGGAACACUGGACAGCGGUCAAGAAUAUCCUGAAGUACCUGAAAAGGACUAAGGAAAUGUUUCUCGUUUAUGGAGGUGACGAAGAGCUCGUCGUAAAGGGUUACGUCGACACUAGCUUCGACACAGAUCUGGAUGACUCUAAGUCACAAACCGGAUACGUGUAUAUUUUGAAUGGUGGGGCAGUAAGUUGGUGCAGUUGCAAGCAGAGCGUUGUGGCAGGAUCUACAUGUGAAGCGGAGUACAUGGCAGCCUCGGAGGCAGCACAUGAAGCAAUUUGGGUGAAGGAGUUCAUCACCAACCUAGGAGUCAUACCCAAUGCGUCGGGGCCAAUCAAACUCUUCUGUGACAACACUGGAGCUAUUGCUCUUGCCAAGGAGCCCAGGUUUCACAAGAAGACAAGGCACAUCAAGCGUCGCUUCAACUCCAUUCGUGAAACUGUUCAAGAUGGAGACAUAGAUAUUUGUAAAGUACAGACGGACCUGAAUGUAGCAUAUCCGUUGACUAAACCUCUCCCUAGAGCAAAACAUGAUCAACACCAGAAUUCCAUGGGUGUUCGAUUCAUCACAAUGUAACUAGAUUAUUGACUCUAGUGCAAGUGGGAGACUGUUGGAAAUAUGCCCUAGAGGCAAUAAUAAAAGCAUUAUUAUUAUAUUUCCUUGUUCAUGAUAAUUGUCUUUAUUCAUGCUAUAAUUGUGUUAUCCGGAAAUCAUAAUACAUGUGUGAAUAAUAGACACCAACAUGUCCCUAGUAAGCCUCUAGUUGACUAGCUCAUUGAUCAACAGAAAGUCAUGGUUUCCUGACUAUGGACAUUGGAUGUCAUUGAUAGCGAGAUCAUAUCAUUAGGAGAAUGAUGUGAUGGACAAGACCCAAUCCUAAACAUAGCACAAGAUCGUAUAGUUCAUUUGCUAGAGUUUUCCAAUGUCAAGUAUCCUUUCCUUGGACCAUGAGAUCGUGUAACUCCCGGAUACCGUAGGAGUGCUUUGGGUGUACCAAACGUCACAACGUAACUAGGUGACUAUAAAGGUAUACUACGGGUAUCUCCGAAAGAGUCUGUUGGGUUGACAUGGAUCAAGACUGGGAUUUGUCACUCCGUAUGACGGAGAGGUAUCACUGGGCCCACUCGGUAAUGCAUCAUCAUUAUGAGCUCAAAGUGACCAAGUGUCUGGUCACGGGAUCAUGCAUUACGGUACGAGUAAAGUGACUUGCCGGUAACGAGAUUGAACGAGGUAUUGGGAUACCGACGAUCGAAUCUCGGGCAAGUAACAUACCGAUUGACAAAGGGAAUUGUAUACGGGGUUGCUUGAAUCCUCGACAUCACGGUUCAUCCGAUGAGAUCAUCGUGGAGUAUGUGGGAGCCAACAUGGGUAUCCAGAUCCCGCUGUUGGUUAUUGACCGGAGAGUCGUCUCGGUCAUGUCUACAUGUCUCCCGAACCCGUAGGGUCUACACACUUAAGGUUCAGUGACGCUAGGGUUGUAGGGAUAUGUAUAUGCAGUAACCCGAAUGUUGUUCGGAGUCCCGGAUGAGAUCCCGGACGUCACGAGGAGUUCCGGAAUGGUACGGAGGUAAAGAAUCAUAUAUAGGAAGUGCUGUUUCGGCCAUCGGGACAAGUUUCGGGGUCAUCGGUAUUGUACCGGGACCACCGGAAGGGUCCCGGGGGUCCACCGGGUGGGGCCACCUGUCCCGGGGGGCCACAUGGGCUGUAGGGGGUGCGCCUUGGCCUACAUGGGCGAAGGGCACCAGCCCCAAGAGGCCCAUGCGCCUAGGGUUUCAAGGAGGAAGAGUCCUAGGAGGGGAAGGCACCUCCUAGGUGCCUUGGGGAGGAGGGAUUCCUCCCCUUGGCCGCACCACCCUAGGAGAUUAGAUCUCCUAGGGCCGGCGCCCCCCCCCCUUGGCCCUCCUAUAUAUAGUGGGGAGAUGGAGGACUUCUUACCUUGAUCUUUGGUGCCUCCCUCUCUCUCUCCAACACAUCCUCCUCCUCCAUAGAGCUUGGCGAAGCCCUGCCGGAGUACUGCAGCUCCAUCAACACCACGCCGUCGUGCUGCUGCUGGAGCCAUCUUCCUCAACCUCUCCUUCCCCCUUGCUGGAUCAAGAAGAAGGAGACGUCGCUGCUCCGUACGUGUGUUGAACGCGGAGGUGCCGUCCGUUCGGUGCUAGGAUCUUCGGUGAUUCGAAUCACGUCGAGUACGACUCCCUCAUCCCCGUUCUUUGAACGCUUCCGCUCGCGAUCUACAAGGUACGUAGAUGCAUCCAAUCACUCGUUGCUAGAUGAACUCAUAGAUGGAUCUUGGUGAAACCGUAGGAAAAUUUUUGUUUUCUGCAACGUUCCCCAACAGUGUGGCGUACCGCAAAACGGGACUCCACGGGAUACUGUUCAUCUCCACCGUCGACCCCCUCCAGCCUCCACGAGCUACUGUUCAUCCACCGUCGACCUCCUCCAUCCUCCACCUAUGACUGUUCAUCCACGGGCUCUUGUUCAUCCAGCCUCCACCGCGCGCUACUCCACCGGCUACUGUUCAACCAACCCUCUCCACGGGCUCCUGUUCAACCACCCCUCCACGGGCUACUGUUCAUCCUGCCCUCCACGGGGUGGUCCUGUUCAUCCAGCCCUCCACGGGGUCCUAUUCAUCCAGCCCCAACUGGCUCGAUCGAUUGGGGUCCUGUUCAUCCAGAGGCAACACCACGGGGUCCUGUUCAUCCACCCCCACCGGGAACUGUUCAUCCAAACCCCCCGCAACGCUCACUGUUCAUCCAGAGGCAGCAUCGAUCGGCUUCAGUUAGCAGCAGUAGCGAAGGAAUCGCUCGAUCGGGUUCAGUUAACAGCCAUCGAUCGAUCGCUCGGGUUCAGUAACGCGUAGCCUACAGUGCAAUCGCUCGGGUUCAGUUAGAGCCCAACGCCUCGCUCGAGUUCAGGUAGAGCCAACGCCUCACACACACGCACGUACGUGUACGAGAGAAACGCGCAUCGCUCGACCCCCGACCUCCCACCGUAACCGGGAACUCCCCGAAAUUUUCCUCGCCCUCGCUUCUACCACAGUUUUUUCCGUCAUGGACGGCCCAAAGAAUGUCGUGCAGCUGCGUCUCCAGCCCGCCCAGGAUGAAAAGCCCAUUUUCGGUCAUGAUUUUUUGUCAUAGAAGUAGGAUCCCACCACAUCUAUGAUGAUACCAGGGUUUGUCACAAUUAUCGUCAUAGAAGUGUCAUAUGUAUGACAGAAAAAAAA
rnacentral:lncRNA from 1 species